rnacentral:lncRNA from 1 species
ACUCAUGUAGCUAAUGCGUGUUAAUAAUAUGAUGCAAAUGCUAACUAGGUGCAUAUAAAAUGAUAUAGAAAUCAUAGGAGACAUGAUUAGCAUUAUGAGAUUAUGUAUGCAUAAUGACAUCAUAGAAUGUAUGCCAGAUGAAAUGUGGAUAUCUAUAGUACUCGAUAUGACAAGUAGGAUGUCAAGUAGAUCGAGUGGUAUUAACUUAGUGUUAAUAAACAUAGGUCGGACAUAGAUGACAUUGAACCUAGUGUUAUUGAACCUAGGAUAAAUAACGAGUGGCAUCUAACCUAGUGUUAAAGAACUUAGGUUCAAUAUGAAUCUAGAGUCGGGACCUAGGUGUGUGGCAUCUAACUUAGUGUCAAAGAACAUAAGUUGAGAACUGAACCUAGAGUUAAAGUAAACCUAGGUUGUGAAAUUGAGCAUUAGACCUAGAGUCAGUUGGACCUAGGGUGAAAAGGACAUUGGACCUAGAUAGGUCGAUACUAUAGGGUUUGAGACUAACCCUUGAGUCGUGAAAUGGAUUCCAAAAUCCCUAGUGAAGUCGCAGCAAAGGAAGCGGUGGCACUUGUGGUAAAAGAGAUGGCAAGCGAAUCAUAACUGCAGGUAUGUGUGGUUCUCCUCGCCUGGCAGUGAUUCAACGGGUAUUUGUGGUUCUUCUCGCACGGGAUGCCAUGAGAAUAAGCUGGAAUUGGGUAUGUGUGGUUCUCCUCGCCUAUUAGCUUAUCAGAUGAUGCCGCCUAGAUUGACUUGAACCAUUGCUGGGUGAGAGCGAGUGGCCGCUGCCAGAUGACUAAGCCAUGACUUGAGCCAUUGUUGGGUGUGAUGCGAUGAGUUCGCCGCCAAGUGGCUAAGUCAUGACUUGAGUCAUUGUUGGGUCGAUGCGAUGAAUUCGCUGUCAGAUGGUUAAGUCAGAGGUGCGGUAGGCUGUGACGGCAGCCGGAAUGAGAUGCAGCCAGUGCGCGAACUAUCCGCGGAUGAUUGACUCGAGGCCGAGUCGAGUGGUUAGCUUGAUUAGGUUAAUAGAAACCUUAUAAGCUAGUGAUAAAGGUAAGAGUUAAAGUUAGCAAAGUAAAUGUAGAAUUAACAUAUCUACUAGUUGUUUAUACAGUUGCAUAGUUGCAUAAUAUUCCUGUUGCAUAUUGUGAGGCAAAGCAUGAUAUAUGUUAGUUGCAUUUAAAUUAUGAUUUCAUAUCUAUCUAUUGAACUAACAUGUUGUUGCCUCCUUGGACCUAUUGGUCGAGCUUCUCCCUUGAGUGGCCGUACCCACUGGGAACCAUGGAGUUGGUUCUCACCCCACGUUGUUUUGGGGUGUUUCAGGUUCGCACGUGAGCGGCGCGGCAGCGCGAGGAAAGGGCGUAGCUCCAUAGAUAGCGCCCUACCCAGAGACCAGAGAUAGCAAUACCCCGUCGACAUAGCCUAGGGGUUUGGGAAAUGAAAAGAAUACAAUGUAUCAAUUUGUAAUAAGCAAAUGAUGUAAUAACUUAAUUGCAUUUGGGAGUUAGAUGUAAAGUAAAUGUAUUAUUGUGAAUGCAUGUAAUAACAUAGGAUAUGUUAUGUUGUGAUACUUUCCUUAUGCAACCAUGAUUGAUAUCUGUUCCUGGUUGGAACCUUUGUAAUGUUCAUUGUAUUGAUUGCGACGCCUAGGACGUAUAGGGAAAACUCUGUCAGUUCGGCGGUCUGUCGACGCGCCCGAACUUGGCCAAAUAGGCGGGGCCCGGGGCGUGGCAAACAGACCACGUAGCGAGGGAUCGGAGGGGAUUCAUCGAGUACCGUUGUGUGCCUGCUGGGAGUAGAAGAGUAUACAUGGGGAAUGAUUCAAGUGUCGAUGUGUUAGGCGUUGGCACAUACAAGUUGAUCAUGCAAGGUGGUCGAACUUUAUACCUACAUGGUGUACUUUGUGCUCCAGGAAUUCGGUGGAACUUGUUUUCUAUUCUUGCUAUGCUACAGUUAGGCUUUUCUUUUUGUUUUGAGAGUGAUGUAGUUAAGAUUCAUCUUGGAACUAUUUAUUAUGGGAGAGAUUUUAUGUCAAAUGGUUUUAUGAUUUUGGACAUUGAUUAUAAUAUUAAUAAUAGUGAAUCUUUUUCCCUGCUAUCUUCUGUUGAGAAUCAUCACAAUGUUUCAAUUAAAUGGCAUGCACGUCUUGGUCAUAUUGGGCAGGACAGAAUGACUAGAUUGGUUAGAGACGGGUUAUUGAGCUCGCUCAGUAAAGUCGACCUACCCACAUGUGAACGUUGUUUAGCAGGAAAAGCGAUCCGAAAAUUAUUUAAUAAAGCUUCUACGAUAGAAUUUUCUUUACAAUUGAUCCAUUCCGACAUUUGUGGCCCAAUGAGUGUGAGGGCAAGACAUGGUGUUUUUUACUUCAUCACAUUUAUAGAUGACCAUACGCGCUUCGGUCAUGUUUAUCUGAUCUCCCAUAAGUCUGAAGCAUUGGAUUGUUUUAGACGUUAUAUAAAUGAGGUUGAGAAUCAGUUAAAUAUGAAAAUUAAAUGCUUAAGAACUGAUCGAGGUCGCGAGUAUCUAUAUGAACAAUUCAAGGAAUUGUGUGAUGAAAAGGGAAUAAUCAGACAGCUGACAAUUCCUGGCACUCCGCAGCAAAAUAGUAUAGCGGAGAGAAGAAAUCGCACCUUGCUUGACAUGGUUAGGUCAAUGAUGGCGCCAGCAAAUUUGCCUGUCUUCUUUUGGGGAGACGCAUUGUUAACUGCUGCCUACAUUCUUAAUCGUGUACCCUCCAAAACAAUAUCUUCCACUCCUUAUGAAUUAUGGACAGGCAGGAAACCAAUUAUUGCAUUAGUUGAAGUGUAUAGAGGGGUUGGGCCCUCUCUUCUCUCUCAUUCCCACCCUAAACACACACAGUUCUCUCUCUCUCUCUAAGCUCUCUCUCCUCUCUUGAAGCAAAGAAGAAAGAGAAGAAUGAGAGGAAGAAAAGGAAGGAGAAGAAGGUGGAGCAAGCUAGGAGAAGGCCUUAGUUCUCUUCCUCUUCCUCCUCACACUAUUGGAGCUAGCUUAGAGGUAAGCUUUUGAGCUCAACAAUGGUAGGAACCUAGGGCUUGGAUUUCUAGCUUUGUGAAUGGGUCAAAUGGACUCCUAGCAUGCUUAAUAGUUGAUUAAUACUAGAAUCUAGAGUUUUGUUGGAGCAAAUUGCAUAAAUGCAAACCUAGGGCUCCAAUUUGGGGUUUUUGGAAAUCAAUGAGAUUGAUCUCAAUUGAGGGCAUCUAAACCUAAUUGAUAGGUGUCUAAACGCGUGGGCAAAGACGGAUUGAACAUUCGUUGAGUCGGUGAAAAGUUAUCGGCAAAACAAGACUGAUCGAGCUUCGUUUCCACCUAGGAGGUCGAAGCGGCAUUAAAGCAACUGCCGAGUAGUGUUCUUAGCACCCCGACAUCGUCGAAAGGUGGGUGGUGUCAUCCCGAAGCAACCGGGUUCCUCUCUAUGUCUUAGUAGUUCAUGAUUUGUAUCUCUUGCAUGUAGCAUUGUAGAAUUGCAUGUUACUCCUUUCCUUAUGCUUGAUAAUGAUAUCUAUGUAUGAAAUGAAUGCAUAAUGAUAGUUAGAUGAGAAUUGGGUCUUGACAUUGAAUUCUAUAGUGCUGAGAAGAGAGAUGACUCGAUGAUUGUUAAAGACGUAUUGAGUGGCAUUGAUUGUUAAACAUACAAAAACGGGUGGCAUAUAACUUAGUGUAAAUGGCACUAGUGGCAUGUGAACUUAGGAAUAGGUGGAUUCCCUAGUAAAUGACUCGUUGGACAAGGAAAUAAUGUAACCAAACACUCAUAUUUGGACUUUGGGAUAGGUGGAUUCCCGAGUGACUUGUAACCCUAGAGUUGAUAGGGUAUCCUCGAGUUGAGAGGAUUGAUCAUACUCACAGUCUGUUUAUACUUGUGGUGGUCGCACCACCCAGGUCUUCGUGCACUCCGGAGUUUGGUUCCGGAGGGGCAGAGUUGAUGCCCUGCAGGCGGCCUCGGGUUUGAGAGCGAGGUGCGUCUCCUUACCAUACGAGGUUUGAGGUGAGUCGUGGGCAAACCCAAGUGGAUCGCCAAGGAUUGAUUGAACAUGGAAAUAGCAUUGUUACUUGAACAUUUGCUUGUUGGAUAUGGAUAGUGGACAUAGUGGCAUGUUAGUAAACCUUUUACUAUAUGAUGCAUGCAUACAUUACGGAUGAAUGGGCAUAGUAGCAUAGUUUUCCUACUAUUGCAUUUGCAGUUUUUCAUAACUAUCUAUCUAUCUGCUUUUGCUCACUCGGACCUAGUGGGGAGAUUGGCGGAGUCGGCGGCCGAACCCACUGGAAACUAUGGACAAUAGUUCUCACCCCACUUUGUUGCAGGGCCUAGUACGAGCGCGCCGGGCGAGGACCGCGGCAAGUGUUAAGUCUUGUAUGUUGGCAAGUUCCGUGGAUUGAGUCGGAGUCUUGAAGGUUUCGGGGCAUAUCGUCGAAGAACGAAGAAUCCAAGACUUCGGAGAAGGCGGAGAUAACUAACGACAUGAAUCACGAUGCUCAGGUAAAGUCUUUACUUCAGUUAUGGUGAUUCGUACUUAGUUAUAGGCAUUAGAAUCAUUAUUAUCAAUGUUUAGUUGAUUAGAAAUUGCUUCGGAACUCUGCGGAACCCGAAACAGUGCUAAGUCUGAAAAAUGCACUGUGUACCGAUAUAGCAAUUGACCCGUACCGGUACAGCCAUCGACUUUGGCUUUACAGAUUUUUGUUCCGUCAUCGUGUAACCGGUGACAGCCUCACGUGUACCGGUACACAGUGUAAAAUUGUGAAAACUUUCGAAUUCGACUCCGAUUGAUUCUAAAGUCUAUAAAUAAGUUAUUGGGGUUCUCUAACAUAUCAAGCAUCACGAAAAUAUAUGUUUGAGAAACCCUAGAUGUAAGAUAUGGAUCCCGAGGAUCUAAAAGGUAAGUAACACCUAGAAGGGGGUGAAUAGGUGUAAAAACGGCAAACUCGAAAAUCUCGAUGCAAAUAAAAAUUAAAUAGCAGAAAAUUAAAAAGCACACCGAGAAUUUAACGUGGGAAAACUCCAAAUCGGAGUGAAAAACCCACGGGACCAAUCACGCAAAGAAAAUCCACUAACAAAACAUGAGUACAAGUGAUUUANGUCGAGCUUUCCGAAUGAGUCUUCGUUCUCCAAUUUGAAUCUCUUCUUCAAAACUUCUGCGAUCAACUCUUCAAGACUCCAAACAACUUUACGAAAUUCGCCAACCUAUAAAAUCCUUAACACUAGAGGCUCGGAUUUCAUCUAAAACCUAUUUUCUUCAUAAAGCCUCUUUUAGGUCAAAUCGAGAGAUUGUAAUUUGAUAUCAAUAUGUCGAUUUGAUAUUCCCUUUGCUUGGAGAUCUAUUUCCUGGUUUUCAUCGAUAUUCUAAGCGAAGGAUCACCAUAAUCAUGAUGCUCUUCAUGACGGCGUCGUUGAUUCGUCGUGAUUGACGGCGGUUCGUGGAUUCGGAUCGUGAGCUUCGUGGAUUCGGAGUGGAGGCGUUUCGUGGAUUCGGAACGUGGCGUUCGUGGAUUCGAACGUGAGGGCAUGGACAACCCGGAGGAUUGCGCGAGAUUCAUAGGAGGUUAAGAGAGGUCGAGUCCGUGGAAAUGGUAAUCACCUUAUAAUCUUUUCUCUUAGGGAAUUAUUUUUUCGCGUGUUGGUCCCGUGGGUUUUUCUCCAAGUUGGAGUUUUUCCACAUAAAUCUCGGCGUGAUUUUUAUUUUCCGCAUUUAUUUUUAUCGCAUUGAGAUUUGUGGUUUUUGGCUAUUACACCUAUUCACCCCCCUCUAGGUGUUAGAUACAAUCUAGAUAGAUUCUUGGGCUCUUUAAAACUUUCAGCAAGGGCAUAGCGCCCGAGCAGUAGUAGAGUACCUUCCCUUUUGCAUUAGAGUACCCUUAUGUAUCUAGAUGCUUUUUAUUUUGGGAGAGCCACUUAUGUAUUUGAAAGGAUUGUGUAUUCAUUUUGGGAAUGAUGUAAAAAGAGCCUUAAAAUGUAAUUGAAUGCAAAUGGAUGUAAUAGCUAGUUAUGUCUCUCUUUAUCUCACUUGUGAAUGCUUGUGGAUUCUUGCUUUUAGUUGUUCGCACUUGUUGUGCCCUUCGUCGAUUAUGUAUAUUGAGAAUUUCAUUACCUGGGCAAAUUCUUGUAUAUGAUCUGGUUGUUUUGCCUUGGGCCGACAGGGGAGGUACUGUCCGUUCGACGUCUGUUCGACGUGCCCGAACCAGACCAAAUCGAUAGCGGUCUCGGAGCGUGAUAGAGGGAAAUGGUAUCAGAGCAAAUAAGAGCAAGUAAAGAGAGAAAGUCUAGGAGCGACCUAGGAGACCCUAGGACAGCGAACCCUAAGGCUAUAGGUGCGUGAGUGGAACGUGAACCUAUAACGGUGACGGAAGUGAUUCGAUUGGGUCGAAGUUGGCGAUAUGUCUCUAGUAGUUGCUAGAGAUGAAUUCAAGUGGUAUGAGUUCUUGACUUAAGGUGGUUGUGUCGGCGGCCGACAACAUGAUGCCAAGAGUCUAGAGCGAGUACACUUGUGUGCUUCCGCCCGACUUCGUUGUUGAACCGUUUCGAGUCGUAGUUGCGACGAAGUAAAUGGGUUAAGAUGAUUAACCAAGUACUUGCGUUUCAGGAGCCAAUGGCCUCGAAGAGACGCUACACGCGCCGAUUGGCUCCAGCACUGCAUUCCAAGGUGCCAGAGCAAGUUGAACCUGCACGAGCCUCAGAGCCUCCUGUGGUGCCUGCACAAGCCGGACCGAGCGAGAUGCAGGAGUUGCGGGCACAAGUGACCGCACUUGCUGGUCAAUUCGGGCUGCUCCGAGAGUUGAUGGAGCGGCAAUUAGCAGCAACGACUGCGAUGGCGACGUACGGUCGUGUUCCACCCGCACCUUCGAUGCGUGAGCCCGAAACGGCUGAGGGUGAGGGUAUAGCGGCAAUUCCGGUGGCGGCACAUCCCCCGCCGAUGGUUGCUUCUCCUGCGCCGUCGGGAUCGGCGACACCGGAUGCGGCGGCCGAGGAAGCGGAAAAGGAGCGCGUGUUGGCGGCUCUAAUCAAGUUUAACAAGUUUCAUCCGCCUAUCUUCGAGGGGGAAAGUAAAGCCGGCGAUGGUCGAGUCAUGGGUCGACUCGAUGGAGACGCUCUUCGAGGACCUGUCCACCUCGGAAAGGGACAAGGUGUUUCUCGCCACACACUGUUUGGAGAAGAUGGCGAAAGUGUGGUGGAAGAGAGUGAAGCGAGAUAGGCGUUCGAAACUUCCACCGAUGCUGUGGGAAGAGUUCAAGAGGGCGAUGUUCGCCAACUACUUCCCUGAUACUCAGAAGCGGAAGUUGCAAGAGAAGUUCCGCAAGUUAAGACAGGGGGACCGCACUGUGGCGGACUAUGAGCAAGAGUUUUCCCACAUCAUUGACUGUGUCCCGAAUGUGGUGAAGGAUGAUAGGGACAGAGUCGACUGGUUCUUGAGGGGACUCCGGUCGGGAAUCUACAAGGCUGUGCAUAUAUUCAAGCUCACAACCUUUGCGGAGGUGUUUGAUCGGGCGCUGUGGGCAGAGCACGGAGAUGCCCAUGUGCGCGAGGAGCGUGAGCUUUUAGCCAAGUCCAAGGAUAAAGGCAAGAAACGACAAUGCGGCAGUUUGGGGGAACCGACGAGCUCCAAGAAGCCCCCGAAGUAUCCGCGGACUCAGUACAAGGGCCGUGGAGCGCGGCGGUGUGUUAUUUGCAGCGGAGACCACCAACCGUCGCAUUGUGAUCAGCGCCAAGGCAAGUGCUUCAAGUGCGGACAACCGGGGCACUUCAUACAUGAUUGCCGGGAGGUGGAGCCUCGCCUGUUCCAUCCAUUGCAUCGGCGCCGGUGAUUCCAGCUCAUUAUGGGGGAGCUCCAUCGACGGCGGUGUCAGCGGGACGCGCGAUGGCGUCGCGUCAACCUGAGGUGACACGAUCGGCACCGAGCGGGCUGGUGUUCGCCGCUCAAACUCAAGUGGAGGAACCUGCCGAGCCCGAGGAGCGCCAUGUGGUGGUAGAUAUGGUUUUAAUUAACGGAGUUCGCUCCCGAGCUAUGUUUGAUACAGGUGCCAUGCAUUCAUUCAUAAGUAGGCCAUUUGCACAAAUGCAUGGUAUUGAGUUUCAAUUUAGUAAGAGCACUUGGCAUGUGUCUGGCCCUGGGCGAGAUUUUCUGAUCCGCAAGGAGUGUUUAGCGUGCCCAGUACAAAUAGGCGAUUGGAUAAUGCCGAUUCGCAUGUUGGUGCUCAAGAGGCUGAAGGAGUACGAUGUCAUAUUGGGCAUGGAUUGGCUCUCGAAGUACUACGUGACGAUUGACUGCAACAGCAGGGUACUUACCUUUCUUGAGCCCGGACAAGAGGAGUUCACGUAUCGGGCUUGUCGAAGCUCAUGCUUCGUCGCGACGGUGUCGGCGACAAGAGCGAGGAAGCUAGUUAACAGCGGUUGCACAGCAUACUUGGCGACCGUUGUGGAGGUGGACCGAGUGGCUCUGACCUUGGAGGAGUUGUCGGUAGUACGGGAGUUUCCAAAUGUGUUUCCCGCGGAGUUACCGGGGAUAUCGCCAGAUCGGAAGAUUGAGUUCGUCAUAGACUUGAUUCCCGGUACCGCGCCGAUCUCGAAGGCUCUGUAUAGAAUGGCCCCGACGGAACUAAAGGAGUUGAGAAAUCAAUUACAAUACCUCCUCGACAAGCAAUUUAUCCGGCCAAGCGUAUCACCGUAGGGAGCCUCGGUGUUGUUUGUGCGGAAGAAGGACGGAUCAUUCCGACUCUGUGUGGAUUAUCGUGAGUUGAACAGAGUCACGAUCAAGAAUAAGUACCCAUUCCCCGAAUUGACGACUUGUUCGACCAGUUGCAUGGAUUGUGUGUAUACUCAAAGAUAGACUUGCACUCCGGCUAUCACCAAUUGAAGAUUAAGCCGGAAGAUGUUCAGAAGACCGCGGUUCGUACGCGGUAUGGGCACUAUGAAUUCACGGUCAUGCCUUUUGGACUUACGAAUGCCCCGGCGACGUUCAUGGAUUUGAUGAACUAUGUUUUCAAGGAGUUUCUGGACCGAUUUGUCGUGGUCUUCAUAAACGACAUAUGGGUCUAUUCUCGCAGUGACGAGGAGCAUGCCGAGCAUUUGAGAUUAGUGUUUCAAGUCUUUCGGGAGGAGAAGCUAUAUGCUAAGCUAAAGAAGUGUGACUUUUGGCUCCGAGAAGUCGCAUUUCUGGGGCAUGUGAUUUUUGAGGGUGGAGUUUCUGUAGACCCGAGGAAGGUUGAGGCAAUCAAGGAUUGGCCGCGCCCAACAAAUGUCACAGAGGUCCGAAGCUUCGUGGGCUUGGCGGGCUAUUAUAGACGGUUUGUGGAGGGUUUCUCGAAGAUCGUGAUUCCACUUACCCGUCUGACUCAGAAGGGCACCAAGUUCGUCUGGAGUGACGAGUGCGACUGGAGUUUCAAAGAGUUGAAGGAAAGAUUAACUUCGACUCCGGUGCUCGCUUUACCGGUGCAGGGUGAAGACUUUGUGGUGUAUAGCGACGUCCUAUCCAGGACUAGGGUGUGUUCUGAUGCAAGGCGGGAAGGUGAUCGCUUAUGCAUCCUGUCAGUUGAAAAACUACGAGAAGAACUACCCUAUCCACGACUUGGAGUUAGCCGCGGUGGUAUUUGCUCUCAAGUUUAGAGGCAUUAUUUAUACGGCGCACAUUGCGAGAUAUAUACCGACCACAAGAGUCUAAAGUAUCUGUUUACACAAAAAGAGCUGAAUAUGCGGCAGCGGUGGUGGUUAGAGCUACUGAAGGAUUAUGAUGUUACAAUCCUCUACCAUCCCGGGAAGGCGAAUGUAGUCGCCGAUGCCCUUAGCAGAAAGUCGGUUGAGAACCUCGCGCAAAAGGUCACAACUCAGAGUCCUCUAUGCAAGGAAAUGAAGCGAUUGGAUCUCGAGAUAGUGGCUCCGGGGGUUUCGGCUAUAUUAUCGGCUCUCGUUGUUCAACCGACCUUGUUGGAGAAAAUCAAGAACCUGCAACCCGCAGACCCUAGUCUCCAAAAGGUGCGGCGCGACAUCGAGGGUGGACGUGGUGGCGACUUCAGUAUAGAUGCUGACGGUGCACUUCGGUUUCGUAGCCGUUGGUGCGUACCGGAGAACGAAGAAGUCCGAAAAUUGAUUUUGUAAGAAGCGCAUCGGACUCCCUAUAGUAUCCACCUGGGCGGCACCAAGAUGUACCAGGAUCUAAAGAUGCAGUACUGGUGGCCGAGAAUGAAAGCGGAUAUUGGACGCUUCGUGGCGCAGUGCCUUGUAUGCCAACAAGUUAAGGCGGAGCGCCGAUUUUCAGUAGGGAAACUUCAGAGCCUGCCCAUUCCUAUUGAGGACAUAGUGAUGGAUUUCGUGGUCGGCUUGCCUCGCUCGACAGGCGGCCACGACGCGAUUUGGGUUAUUAUGGACCGCAUGACUAAGUCAGGCAUUUUCUACCAAUCCACAGUACCUAGUCGGGUGAUAAGUUAGCGCAGGUGUACCUUGAUGAAGUGGUGAGGUUGCACGGGGUUCCGAAAUCAAUUGUGUCAGAUCGAGACCCCCGAUUCACUUCACACUUUUGGAAGAACCUGCAGGAGGCACAUGGCACAUGGCUCGAUUUCAGUACUGCAUUUCAUCCUCAGACAGAUGGGCAAUCGGAGAGAACCAUUCAGAUUCUGGAGGAUAUGUUGCGAGCAUGUGUCAUUGACUACAAGGGAGUUGGGCAAGUCACCUACCUAUGGCCGAGUUCGCCUACAAUAACAGUUACCAAGCUAGUGUUGAGAUGGCAUCGUUCGAAGUCCUUUACAGGCGGAAGUGUCGAUCUCCUAUACAUUGGGGUGAUGUAGGUGAGCGUGCGGUGAUAGGCCCCGAUGUCCUGCGGUAGGCGGAGGAGAAGGUUUGCCUUGCUCGCAAGAGAUUGCUCACGGAGCAAUCAAGACAGAAAAGCUAUGCAGAUAAGCGCCGGAGAGAUUUUGUAACACACUGGACCUUUGCAAAUUGCGAGGUUCGAGUGCUUGGAUGUUUUUCGAGCUUUUCCACACUUGGUGGAGGGUUGUAGAAUGUUUUCCGACCUAAAAGUUCGAAAAACUGGAAUUUUGGACAAGUCCUGAGAGUUUUUACUCUCGGGGACCGGUCCCUGGAAGAAGAGACCGGUCCCCCAGUGAGCAGUGUUGAGGCAGCCUGAGGCAACCGGUCCCUGGCGGGCGAGACCGGUUCCCGAACGCUGGUUUUUCGGGUUCGCAGCGAGAGACCGGUCCCUGCUGGGGAGAGACCGGUCCCUCUGGGCGAAAACUGCCCAGACCGGGCUGAUGCAAUAUUGGAUUUUUGAGGAGCCUGGUUGGAUUUUGUUGCAAUAGAGGGUCUAUAUGACCCCUCCACCCUCUCUACUCCUCAUUUCUCCUCUCUCAACCCUCUCUACACCCUUGGUAAAGAAGAAGAAGAAGAAGGAGAAGGAGAAGAAGAAGGGAAGAAGAAGAAGAUUAAGAGUUUUUGGAGGACUUGGAGCAUCUUCCUCAUCCCCUCUUCUUCCUUGGUGCUUGUUGCUUGGACUUGGAGCUUACCAAAGAGGAGAUCUUCAUCCUUGGAGCUUGGAUGGGAGCUUCUAAGGAGGUUUGUUGCCCAUUUCCCUCCUCUAAACCUUGUUUUGAUGGUUUUUGUAGUUGAAACCCUAGAAAUGAGAUUUAGGGUUUGAUUUUGGGCAUUUUUGAUCUAGGGCUUUUGAGGCCAGAUUGAUUGGAUUAGAACCUUCCUAGGGCUUGGAUUGGAAGGGUUCUAGCUCUCAUUUGGAGCUUUGGAAGAGUUUCCUACUCUUGAGGUAAGUUUUGGCCCUUUUGCUCCUAGGUUAAUUUUUGAUGUUAUAUGAUGAUCGUGAUGCCCUCGUAUCUCUUCGCUGAUUACUUUUAGGGUAUUUUGAGACUCGGGGACAACUUGGUUCGGCGAGACGAGACCCUACGCGACGGUUCGGUGGGUUUGACCUAGCCACACAAUGAGAAAUUCUCAUUUGUGCUUAAUUAAGUGUUGUUAAAUGAAAAAGCAUGCAUAUUCUUGUUAUAUGUAUUUAUUGUGAAUUUUAGAAUGCUUAAAAGGCCUAUGUUAUAUAUGAUGAAAUUUUGGACCUCUAUGUAGUAGAGAGUAGCUUAUUAGGCCAUAGUUGCAUUUAGCAUUCUAUAUGAGACGUGGUAUUUGCUUCGUAUGAGUAUAAAUGGUUCGGGAUUCAUGCCAUUUAACACCUAAGUUUACUUAGUGACAUGAAAAUUGACAAGAUUGUCAUUUUAGAAGUAUUGAUGUAUAGAGAGAGCUAAUGUCAUCAAGCUGGCAUUGGAGCUCGGGACAUGUGGGAACUAGUGGAUAGGGGCAAUCAAGAAUUUUGGAAUAAUAUUGAACAUCAAAUUGCCUAAUGUCAUCAAGGGGCACUAGGCGUAGCAAAGGUUGAACUCUUCACAUUGGACAUAAGCUAGAUCUUGUGGAGCUUAGGGACCUAUACAUGUUAGAGACAUGAGGAUUGGAUACUUGAGACUUGGAUUAAUGCUUGCUUGCCAUUUGUGCUCAUUCGCACAUGCUUUGUGGAGUCGUCGCUCCCUACAAGCCCGGCACUCCGGAGUUAGCUACGCGACUUUUGUUCGCUCGGUGCGGUAUUGAGAGCCACGGGUCGAUGUGGGACAGACACAUCCCAAGAGUAGGGAUGUUGGGCUACCACAGGCACUUAGGCGGCACAAGCUGGAUUAUACCUUGGUAGGUCCUUGAUUGGAAAAUGGAAAUCGAUACGGGUUGAGAGUGGUUAAUCACUACUAGAUAGGUUUAGUGUUGGAUUACAUUUACAUGCUUUUAGCAUAGUGUUGAGGACAUGAGUACAUUUGAUAGUGCUCCUGUUGCAUUAGAGCAUAUGGUUGCCAUGAUAGAGCUUAUGGCAUCAUGCAUUGAUAAAGGUUAUUGACAUUGAACUAUUACCAUUAGACAUUAGUAUUUUGAUAUCGUAGAUGUAACAUCACCAUGACAUCGUUAUACUUGAGUUUAGUAAGUUAGCAUUAAUUAUGCCUUCAUUUAUUGCUAUCUUUAGUGUACUUACCCUUUUCUUUUGGGCCUAGUGGUGCAUUGAGCCUGAGGUCAUAGAUUGCCCACUGGGAAUAUAAAUUAUAGUUCUUCAUGCCCUCUUUUUCUUGAUGUUUUCAAGCUUCCUCAGAGUGGCCAGGGACCGCGGGAAGGGAGUUGCUUCGAGCUAGCUUCCUUUGAGGACGAUUCGCUAGGUGGUCUACCUCUCGUGGUGUUUUAUUUUGGAGAGGUUGAGGUGUUUACCAGUGUACUAGAGACCACCAUUUUUGUAUUAGAGACAGAUAUUGUACUACUUAUGAUUUCUUUUAUUGUCUAGCUUUACUUCUUUACCUUGAUGUAGAUGUUAGAACCUUACUCGCUCUGAUAUCAUUAGCUGCUCAUUAUUUCACUUCUUCUAUUUGUUCUAUUACUUGCUUUUACUUCCGCUUUUGUUGUAGACGCCUUAUAUGUGUUGACAUAUGGCGGGUCUGGGCACGCUACCAGGAGGGCCUCCGCCGGUCCCGGGGCGUGACAGAUUUAGAAUUCGCGGUGGGCGAUUGCGUGUUCUUGAAAGUUUCGUUGAUGCGAGGGGUGAAGCGAUUUGGAGUGCGAGGAAAGUUAAGUCCUCGAUAUAUUAGACCGUAUGAGAUAUUGGAACGAAUUGGUACAGUAGUUUAUCGGCUAGCCUUGCCGCCGAAGCUCGCAGACGUUCACAACGUGUUCCAUGUCUCCAAUCUUCGCAAGUACGUUCAUGACCCCGAACAUGCGAUGCUAUAUGAGCCAUCGGAACUUUAAGAGGACUUGAGUUAUGAAGAGUUUCCGGUGAUGAUUAUCGCCUGAGAAGUGCGAAAACUGAGAAAUCGCGAGAUUCCCUACGUCAAGAAACGGUGGAGCAAUCACGACGAUCGCGAAGCCACCUAGGAACUCGAGGAUCUGAUGAGAAAGCAUCAUCCUCACUUGUUUGAGGAAUAAGGUAUGAGUUUAAGUUUGAGUUAAGAAUUGGAUUAGUUUCGAGGACGAAACUCCUUUUUAGGAGGGGGGAAUGUAAGGAAGUGAAUUCUCGAAAUUCGAAAGUUGGACUUCGUUCAGAAUCGACUAAUUGUCGAGUGGAUAUGCUUCGGAAAAGCUGUAAAGGUCUAAAACCCAAAAAGUGCGUUGGAGUUGGAGUCCAAGAGAGCAGACAUGUAAUACACUGGACCUUUGCAAAUUGCGAGAUUCGAGUGAUUAACUGUGCUCUGAGUUUUUCCAGAUUUCCUGGUAGGUCGUUGACCGUGUUGGCACGUGUCCUGAGGAGUGUGGUACAAAGCCUUGCAACAAAAUCCAAAAAUUUGGAUUUUGGUCAGCUCUCGGAUUGGCUGUCUGGCGGGCUUGUACCGGUACAAGGUUGUGCUUGUACCGGUACAGAGCCGAGAACUCGCACAACCCGAGCCUCGGGUUUGCAUUUUCACAGGUCUUGUACCGGUACAAGGAUGGUCUUGUACCGGUACAAUGUUGAUGGUUGUACCGGUACAGCCAUCGGGCCUGUACCGGUACAGUGCCGCAGAACAGCGCAACCCGAGCCUCGGGUUUGGAUUUCGUGGACCUUGUACCGGUACAAGGGCCCGUGUACCGGUACAAGGCGGCAGAUUUUGAGCAGUUUGAACUGCAGGGGGCUUUUUGCGAUUGUGGGCUUCUUAUAUCAGCACCCAUGCCCCUAGGGCUCUCCCCUCGGCUGAGAAGAGUGGAGAACCAGGUAAGGGAGCUCCCCACACCAUCUCUUUGGAUUUGAUUUUCAUUUUGCAUGGUUUUUGAUGGAUUUUCCUCUCUUUUUCCCUAUUGGAGCUAUUUNNNNNNNNNNNNNNNNNNNNNNNNNGUAGGAAUGUCGGGCUACCACAGGCACUUAGGCGGCACAAGCCGGACUACCUUGGGUAGAUCCUUAAUUGGAAAUGAAAAUCGACACGGUUUGAGAAUGAAUGAUCACUACUGGAUAGGCUUAGUAGUUGGAUUACAUUUACAUGCUUUUAGCAUAGUGAGAGACAUGUAGUAUACUUGGUUGCCAUGAUAGAAUUUCUACAUCAUGUAUUGACAAAGGUUAACAACAUUAAACUAGUGCCAUUGGACUUAAUUGUAAUGAUAGAAUAGAUGUACAUUUUGGUUGACAUCAUGCUUACUUGAGACACAGUAGACUAGUUUUUCAAUUAUGCUUUCUUUCAGCAAUUUAUUUACAUGCCCCUUAUUAUUGUUAUUAUUAUUACCGUUACCUACCCUUGUUUUUGGGGCCUAGUGGAGCAGGAGCUGAGGUCAGUAAUUGCCCACUGGGAACUAUAAAUUAUAGUUCUCACGCCCUCUUUUUCUCGAUGUUUUUCAGAGCCUUCCAGGGAGAGGCCAGGGAUCGCGGAAAGGGUAUCGCCUCGGGCUAGCGUGCUUACCGGGGGAUCGUUCGAUAGGUGGUCUACCUCUCGUGUUUUCUUUUUGGAGAGGUUGAGAGUUUUACCAGUGUACUAGAGACCACCAUUUUUAUAUUAGAGGCUGAUACUGUAUCACUUAUGUUUACCUUUAUGUUUCUGUUUUGUUCUUUCACUAUUGGUGUAGAGGUUAGAACUAUACUCGCUCUGAUAUCAUUAGUUGCUAGUUAUUUCACUUCGUUGUUUGUUCUAUUCUUGCUUUUACUUUCGUUUUUAUUGUAGACGCCUUAUAUGUGUAGACAUAUGGCGGGUCUGGGCACGCUACCGGGAGGGCCUUCGCCGGUCCCGGGGCGUGACAGGGACAGGUCCCUGACGGGAGAGACCGCUCCCCGUACGCGUAGAAGCUGGCAGAAGAGCUCUGCCCGCGAAGGUUGUUCUCGGGGACCGGUCUGUCCAUAAAGGGACCGGUCGCCGUGCGCGAAAACUGCCCAGGCAGAGCAAUUUGAAAGAAGCAAAGUGGAGGGGUUUGGAUGCAAUUGUUGCAUUAGUUGAAGGGUAUAAAGGGGUUGGGCCCUCUCUUCUCUCUCAUUCCCACCCCAAACACACACACUUCUCUCUCUCUCUCUAAGCUCUCUCUCCUCUCUUGAAGCAAAGAAGAAAGAGAAAGAGAGGAAGAAAAGAAAGGAGAAGAAGGUGGAGCAAGCUAGGAGAAGGCCUUGGUCCUCUUCCUCUUCCUCCUCACACUAUUGGAGAGGUAAGCUUUUGAGCUCAACAAUGGUAGGAACCUAGGGCUUGGAUUUCUAGCUUUGUGAAUGGGUCAAAUGGACUCCUAGCAUGCUUAAUAGUUGAUUAAUGCUAGAAUCUAAAGUUUUGUUGGAGCAAAUUGCAUAAAUGCAAACCUAGGGCUCCAAUUUGGGGUUUUUGGAAAUCAAUGAGAUUGAUCUCAAUUGAGGGCAUCUAAACCUAAUUGAUCGGUGUCUAAAUGCGUGGGCGAAGAUGGAUUGAGCAUUCGUCGAGUCGGUGAAAAGUUAUCGGCAAAACAAGACCGAUCGAGCUUCUUUUCCACCUAGGAGGUCGAAGCGGCGUUAAAGCAAGUGCCGAGUAGUGUUCUUAGCACCCCGACAUCUUGGAAAGGUGGGUGGUGUCAUCCCGAAGCAGCCAGGUUCCUCUCUAUGUCUUAGUAGUUCAUGAUUUGCAUCUCUUGCAUAUAGCAUUGUAGAAUUGCAUGUUACUCCUUUCCUUAUGCUUGCUAAUGAUAUCGAUGUAUGAAAUGAAUGCAUGAUGAUGGUUAGAUGAGGAUUGGGUCUUGACAUUGAAUUCUAUAGUGUCGAGAAGAGAGAUGACUCGAUGAUUGUUAAUGUCACGCCCCGGGACCGAUACUAAUUUGGGCCGGCCGGAGCACGUCAAACAGACGCCGAACGGACAGAGUUUCCCCUGUCCGCCCAAGGCUCAUCACCUGUACAUUUUCAAACAAGAAGUGCACUAGCGAAAACAUACACAAACGGCUUACACGAGGGUAAGCAAUAGCCAUGAGUGAAAGAAAGGAAACUAAACAUCUACACAAGUACUAUGAUUCUCUUUUGAUCACAUACAUUAUAUUUAACCUUCAUAUUCAUAAUUCUUUACAUUGCUUGCAUCAUUUCUUUUUACAUCACAUUGCCUCAAAAUAAGCUUUACAAUCUUUUCUUUCUUUGCUUUACAAUCUUUAAUGUCACGGUUAACCCGGGGGUUUCGCCACAUUAACUUGCCCACAUUAAGUACAUCAUCGCGGGCCCUCAGCUGCCUCCCGCUAAGACCGUCCUCGGGUUUACUCCAACCCGUGAUGCAAAACUUCGGAGUGCAUCGCUCGAGGGGGAGCGACCGCCCUCGAGCACGGAACUCAUAGCAAGUAUGAUCGAUCCUUAACUCUAAGGAUAUAUAUAUAGUUCAAUCAUUGUCUUUACACUAACUCUAGUGUUCUUUACAUCACUUUAUUUUGCUAACUCUAGCAAUCAUUAUUCUCUAACUUUACUCGAUCUUUAUGCCACACCUUGCAUUAACUUUAACCAUUAUUAUUGUUCUUUUCAUCACAUUGAUUCUUUGAUGCCACACACUAACUUUAGUGUCGACUAUAUACUUUCGAAUGCCACUCAAUCUACGCUCUUAUGUCACCUUGUUCUUUUAUCUCAUUAGGUUCUCACAUUACCUCUCAUGCAUAUAUAGGGUGUUAUAGGUUCUCGACCAACUAGAAAUGCACGUGUACUCAUAUCAUGCAACAUUUACAUAAAUAUCAUCACAUUCUACCGUACAAUGCAUGCAACAACAUAAACAUAGAUGCUUAAUUAAAUGACACAUUAGGCAUAGAGGGAAUUCCAACAAGUUUGGAUAGCACCACCCACCUCGUAGGCGUACUAGGAUGCUACGGUGAUUUUCUUGGGAUUUUUUAACUUCUUAGUUUGUCACCUGCGGCAAAACGAAACCCUAUUAGGCAAUUUUGCUCAUAUCUUUACAUUAGCUUUUCGUAACGUUAAUCCGAGCGCACCAACGCGUCGGAAACACCCCCAAUUAGGUUUCUAGAGGAUCAAUUUCACUUUGGAACCCUCGUAAGCAAACGCCCCAAUUUGAGUGCCCUAGCUCAUAACAUAUAUCAAACCUAGGGUUUGAUCUCAUUGGGAAGCAAAAGAAGCUUCAUUCUACUCUAGAGACUCCACAAAAACCAUCUUUAGUUCAAUCCAAACCCUAGUUUGGAUUCUACCAUGAGAGAGGUUGAAGCUCUCCUUCAAGCUUCACCUUCCACACCAAUCCAUGGUUUUGAUCUCAAAAGGAAGCAAAAGAUAGCUCCAAAUACUCUAAAGGUUCUAUAAAAACCAUUCUUAGCUUCACUCCUUCACCUUUUUCUUUAGCUUCCUUCUCUUCUUUGUCUUCUUCUUCUCCUUCUUGUCUAGAGAGAGAAAGAGAGAAGAGAGUGUGAGAGGGAGAGGGAAUGAGAAAUGAGCCCUUACAAUCCCUCAACACAACCCAUAUAAUGUAACUUUGCAUUUAGACCCUCAGCUUUCAUUUUAUUAAACUGCUCAAACUGGGCAGAUUUCGGGUUCAGGGAGCGGUCUCCCCGACUUGGGACCGGUCCCAGAGAGCUCUCUCGCAGCUCAGCGGGGGCUUUCGCACGAGGCAACCAGUCUCUCCCAGGGAGACCGGUCUCUCGGGGACUGGUCUCUCCCCGCAGGGACCGGUUCCCGAGAGCUAGUUUUCUAGGACUUAGCCAAUUUUUCAGCUUUCUCAGUUUUCACGCGUUCGGGGACCGGUCUCUCCCACCAGGGACCGGUCCUCGAGAGCUCAAAAACUGCAGUUUGCAGAUUUUUGAUUCUUAAGCUCUCGAAACCUCCCACAAUGUACUUUUACUCACUUUAACACCUUCGGACUUUCUGAAGUGUACCAACCCCGCACUUUGGUCAAUUUGACUAAAGUUCGAUAUUUAUUUUUCGAAUUUUCGGUAUAUUACAUUCUCCACCCCUUAAAAUAAUUUUAUCCGCGAAAUUACGCAUACCUUAACUCGUCGACUCAAAUAGAUGUGGAUACUCUCUCCGCAUGGUCUCCUCGAGCUCCCAAGUGGCUUCUCGCACCGCAUGGUUGCUCCAUUGGACCUUCACAUAUGGAAUUCUGCGACUCCGCAGCUUUCUUUCUUCUCGAUCGAGGAUGCACACCAGGUAUGUAGCACAUUGGACAUUUGCAAAUUGCGAGGUUCGAGUGUUUGAUAUGGAUUCCGAAUUUUUCCACACUUGGUGGAAGGUCGUAGAUGGUAUUCCGACCUAAAAGUUCGAUUUCUGGAGUUUUGACUUUGUCCUGAGAAUUUUUACUCUCGGGGAUCGGUCCCUGAAAUGAGAGACCGGUCCCUUCAGAACAGUGUCGCGGCCAGCUUGAGGCAACCGGUCCCUGGCGGGGAGAGACCGGUUCCCGAACGUUGGAUUUUCGGGACAGGUUGAGAGACCGGUCCUAAGUCGGGGAGACCGGUCCCUCAGUCCGAAAACUGCCCAGCCCGGGCAGUGCACAGUGUUGAUUGUUGAGGGGCUUAUCAGGAUUUUGUUACAUUAGAAGGCUUUUAGACCCUUUCUCCUCUCUCUUUCUCUCAUUUUCUCCCCUUCACACCCACCCUUGAGAGAAAAAGAGAAGGAGAAGAAGGAGAAGUAGGAGAAGGAGAGGAGAGGAGCUUGCUUGGAGGCUUUAGAGCAUCAUCUUCUUCCUCAUUUCUUACCUUGGUGGCUUGGAGCUCGCCGUUGAAGCUUUGUGGAGGAUCAAACUCCAACCCUACUUGGUUUAGAGCUUGGAUUGGAGCUUCUCUUGAGGUUGGUAGCUUGUAUUUUUCAUUUAAUACAAGUUUUUCUAAAUUUUACCAUUUGAAACCCUAGAUUUUGGGAUUUAGGGUUUAUUUUGGGGAUUUUUGAUUUGAGGGCUUUGAAACCUAAUUGAUGGGUUUAGAACCUUCAUUUAGGUUGGAUUUGAAAAACUCUAACUCCCAUUUGGAGCUUGAGAGAGGAUUUCUUCACCUAGGUGAGUUUUCUCCACCUUAGCCUAUGUUGCUUAUUGUUUGAGCUUAGGGUUGAUCGUAAGGUUUGUUUGACCCUUGUUCCUAUAUCUUUAGGGUGCUAGGAGACUAGUCGACACCUUCGUCGAAGCUUACGAAGGGUUUCGGAAUUUUCGGUGGGUUUGACUUCAUGAAAACGGGGCGAAAAGGUCCCUAAGUAUUUUAUACUUGUCGUAACAUCAAUUUGAUUGCAUAUUCAUGUUAAAUGGGACUUAUGUGAAUUUUAGAACACUUAAAAUGCAUGCCUUAUGUAUCAUAAAAUUUCACUCUAUAUAGUAGGGCCUUCUGGGCAUUUUUGCAUGCAUAUGGGAAGUGUUUGUGUAGCGACUUGGUGUUGAAGCAUUAAAAAAAAAAAGGAAAGAAGAAGAAGAAAAAAAAAAGAGAAAAAAAAAGUGGAAAGAGAGAAAAUUUGAAUAAUGGUGUAUGAGACGAUCUAUGCACUAGGUGCGUGGAGAAAAUUUGAGUUCAAAUUUUGAACGUGGUGCAUAGGUUAAUCCAUGCACCAGGUGCAUAGACUACAAAGAGAAGGAAGAGAGAAUGCUCUCGUAUGGGUAUUACACAUAGCAAAUUAGUCCUUUCCCUUUCAUAUAUUUGCAUGAUACUCCACUUCAAGCAUAUAAUAUGUUUUUUAUUUUAACUAAAGUAUAAUAUAAGCAAAUGAGAAGGGCUAAUAUGCAAUACCAUACCCAUGAUCCCAUGACCAAAAUAUCCUAACUACCCACAUCCCACUACCCCUAUCAUCUGCACGUUCUAAAAAAAAAAAAAGGGGAAAAUGAGAGAAAAAAAAAAUCCAAGCAGUUAUAACCUAAGUCCAUAAAUAUCUAUUUGGACCCCAAUUGGAACACUUUGUUUUUUGAACUCUCAAACCCAUUCCUAAAAAAAAAAAUCCCACUGUUUACGAAAGAAAAAAGAAAGGUAAUUUUCUCUUCUCCAUGGAUGCUACAAUCAAAGCUCUCUCUCUCUCUCUCUUUCUCUCUCUCACCAUUAACGCCGUAAAUCGCAUCGACACUCUCCAUUAACGCCUCAUGGCGGAGCUUGGGCGCCUCUCCGACGACUUCCGCAAAGACUUCCACCCACGAGUUCGGCCUCCGCCUCCUUGACGCACACCUCGUCUUCGUGCGCCGCAUCGGUGGCAUCGCCGCGUGCGGGUGCAACGCCCAACGCGAUUUCGUCCUCACCCUCACCUUCGUCGCUUACCACCCGCCGUCCGCCUGGGCGCUACUCGACCCCCUUUGCGUCGCCCGCCUCGCCGACUACGCCGUACCCGAUGCCUCCCGCGACUACCGCCGCCUCGUCGUCGAGUUUGCACGCGCCGGCCUCUUCGAGAAGAAGGGCCGCGGCGCGCUCCUCGUGUUGGCCGCCAUGCUCCUCAUGCUCGCCGACGCCUUCUACGGCGUCGUCGCUUCCUCCAGCCCCGCCGUCGACUUGCUCUCGGCGGCCCUCAUGGGCGCUCUUUGGAUGCAGCCUGGCUUCCUCGACCACGACUCUGGCCACUAUAAUGUCCUGCUCACCCCCCCCCCGCACUAAAUCGACUCGUGCAGGUGGUGGCUGGAAACUGCAUGGCGAGGAUCAGUAGUGAGUGGUGGAAGUAGAACUACAAUGCACACCACAUCGCCUGCAACAACCUGGACUUCAACCCGGACGUCCAGCACAUGCCGCUGUUCACCGUGUCCGCCAGGCCCUUCGCGUCGUUGCUGUCGGCCUUCUACGGGACGCCCUCGACACCGGCCUCUUCUCCGUCAUGGUCGGCCUCGUCACCGCUCACCAGGUGUUCGCUCUGUGUCCACAGCCUUCUACGGGACGCCCUCGACACCGGCCUCUUCUCCGACAUGGCCGGACUUAUCACCGCUCACCAGGNUUCUCCGUCAUGGUCGGCCUCGUCACCGCUCACCAGGUGUUCGCUCUGUGUCCACAGCCUUCUACGGGACGCCCUCGACACCGGCCUCUUCUCCGACAUGGCCGGACUUAUCACCGCUCACCAGGUGUUCGCUCUGUGUCCACAACGAACAUCGGUUCUUUAAAAAGAGGUUUCUAUUAGUCUACUCCCCCUCCGGCAGCAGCCGUUGUAUCUCGCUCGCCACCAGCGGAUCCUUGAUCCCCCACGACGAAGGCGAUAGUAUGUUGAAGCUGCAAGCUGCGGGCGAGGUGCGGCGGCUACAUCGCGCGAGCCGCGGCGUCGGUCCAGGCUGCGGCGCUCAAGGCGGAGCACGUGCAGGCGGUGGUGGCCCCAACCGUCGAGAAGGUACUGCAGAACGUCCUGCAGUCGUGCCGCGACAGCUAUGGAUCGGCGGUGGACGCGCUGCAGAAUGCGCCGACGAUUGGUGCGCGACGGCGGGCGGCUCGCGGACGUCAACAGUGAGCUCUCGGCCGCCGGCACGUUCUUUGACACCUGCUAGAACUCGUUCGACGAGUUCCCGGACGUCGACGGCUCACCCCUCGCAAACGUGCAGACCAAUCUCAGCAGGCUCGCCAGCAACAGCAUCAGCCUCGCCACCUACAAGGCCUUCUAGGAUGUUGCUCUGACGGAGUUGGCGCCGACGAAUCAUGCCUACCAAUUGUUUGAUGAAAUGCCUAAGAUGUAUUUUUGACGGCGAAUCCAAUCUGUACAUGAAGAGCGAGAGCGGUGCUUUUCUCUUUAUAAAAAAUAAUGUCUUAUCAAAAGAGAGUGAGCGGUGUUCUUCUCUUUAUAAAAAAAAAUAUAGCAUCAUCGAAAGAGGGAGAGAGCGGUGCUCUUCUCUUUGCAAAAAAAAAGUAUAUUAUCAAAAGAGAGAGAGAAAGAGAUUACUUCUCUAAUUACCAAAGAGAGAGGGAGCUUUGUUACAAAAAGGGAGGCAAGGAAGGGAUUUUUCCACCUUAGUUGUCCCAUGAAUAUAAAAGAAGACAAGAAGGAUUAUCCAUCUUUGUUGUCCUGUAGUUUCAAAGGAAAUAAAGAGAAAAAUACUCUCUUAAUUCUCCUAUAAUGAGGAGACAAAAGAAAAUUAAUCGGGUUAUCGAUUAAUAUUCUUUUGAUCGUCCUUUUAUUGGAAGAACAAUGGGAUGUUCGGAAAAUCGAACUCUUUGAUUCUAUCCAAAGUCGAAUCUUUCGAUUUGGCCAAAUUAGACUAAAUUGAGAUUUAAUCGCAUUGGACAUUUUAUGUGAUUCAUAAAAAAAUGCAUUCGAAAUUUUUUUAAGUGAUGAAUUUGAUUCUGAAUCAUACAUUUAAAUAUUUUGAUCUCAUAUGAUCCCAAAUUAACCACCUCAAAACAAUGGAUCGAGUCUAUACCCACCUCAAAUUACACAAUUCAGGCUCAGCCCAAAUGUGAAUACAUAACUCAGGUUAAGCUCAAACAUAAAUUUGGGCCCAAUUCUAUAGCUUGCCUAAAGAAAACUUUGACUUAAGCCAUGCGGGCCUAAACUGAGCCCAAGCCUAUAUCUAGAAUUUAAAUUCAAUUCAGGCCUCAACCAUAUGGGCUUAAAUUUAGUCCAUGCCUGAAUAUAAUUAUAUGGGUCCGAAUUUGGAUCAUACUUGAAUCUAUAGCAGAAUUGAACCAAUUACAUGAAGCCAUGGAUUUCCUCAUAUGGACUAGCACCAAAUCCAAAUAUUUAAUCCAAAUCAAGAUUUGAAAUUAUGCUUAUCGAUCAAAUCCGCUCUUGAACCUAAGCCACAUAGGCUAGGUACAACCGGAAUAUGAAACUAGGUCGUACCAACUUUUUAAUCCAAUUCUCUAGCACGUUAAGCUAGAGUCAUGUUGUUACCACAUUCAUAUUAGAUCAAAUUCUAAAUUAUUUGUUUAGAAUUAAUCAAACCAUCUAUUUAUCUUAGUAUAUAUGACUAAGAUAAAAAUAAUAAAUUAGGUUUCACCUAAUCAAAAAUUUAUUGAACUCUAAUACAUUUACUUAAGAGUUCAAACAAAUGAAAAUGAAUUAAACUCUAAUACAUACACUUAGAAUUUAAUUUAAAUUAAAUUUUGACUAAUCCUAAUAUAUAUAAUUAGGAUUUAGUUGAUAUUUCACCUCAUGGUGAACCCAAAUGAAACCGAAUUAGACUCUAAUACAUACACUUAGAGUUUAAUUUAAAUUAAAUUUUGACUAAUCCUAAUAUAUAUAAUUAGGAUUUAGUUCAUGGUGAACCCAAUGAACCUGAAUUAGACUCUAAUGCAUACACUUAGAGUCUAAUUUAAAUCAAAUUUUGACUAAUCCUAAUAUAUAUAAUUAGGAUUUAGUUAAUAUUUCACCUUAUGGUGAACUCAAUGUGAGACAUAAUUAAGCUCUAACAUAUAAACAUAGAGCUUAAUUACACUGGACUUUGAGAUAUUAAAUUGGAGUCUAAUCCUAACACAUACAUUUAGGAUGAAGGCUUAAAUUGAAUAUCAAAUCAAAUCCCAUUGGACUUUAUCACAUAUAUUUAAAGUUCAAUUAACUAAAUCAAACUCUAAUUCAUUUAAUUAGAGUUUAAUUUGAAUCAAAUCUGAUUAAAUCCCAAUGUAUAUACAUGGAAUUUAAUCAACCUUUCAUCUUAGGGUGAACAAUAUUGUUGAGCACUGAAACAUAUAGAGCCCAACCAAAUCAAUUUAAUCAUACACUUUGAUAUCUUCGAAUAUAUAUAACUAAGGUUCAGAAUCAAAUUCAAUCAAUCGUCAUAUUCAUGUCAUUUUAUUAUAUUCAUGUACAUUAGGGGGAUGCCCCUGGUUAAGCCAUGUAAUUGUAUACCGAAUUAUGUUAUUCAAUUUCAGUCCAUUUCGGCAUUACAAAGGUCUCUCAAUCGAAGGUGCCCUAACACUUUGUAGGGGUAAUUAACAAUAAACGCUUGCGUUUAUUGAAAGUCAUGAAUCCACAAUACCUGAUAACUAUAUAUAAUUAAAUAUUAAUCUGAAUCAUGAAUACUGCCCCACGGUAAAAAUCAAAAUAAGAUAGACCGUGCGAGGUGCGUCAUUCAUGGUCGCAGACAAAAUGGCACGCUCGGUGGGACUUGGCUUCUCCUUCCAUCUUUGAGACCAAUGUUAUGCGGAUAGAAUUAGAUGAUAGAUGUUUAAUCUACACUCGUUAUUCUCUUGCAGGAGAAAUGGCACUGAAGAACGCUGCUACUGCUACAGGUUCGAUGAUGAUCAAUGCAGGUCAGGUUUGCCUACCGGCAUCUGUCCUCACCAUUGGAGCUGCCGGUGCUGCGAUCCAGUUCGGCACCAUCCCAGAAGAGGCUCGGGCUGCGGCGAUGGCCCCUUUCAAUGCUAUUACAAGCACGAAUGAUGUUCCACCUCUUCCCUCUCGUGGGAGGCGUCCGAAUGUCGUCAUUCCCAACCCCCCUCGCGUUCCUGUGAAGGAGAGGAGACUUCUAUUAGUGCUUCAAAGAAAAUGGAAUUACAAGGAAGACUGGUGUUCCAAAACCGAAUUGACGAAACAUCGCCACUUGAUAUAGCACCUAAAGCUUCAGUCUUCAAUAGGCUGACAUUCCCCAAGGAUACUGUGACCAAGGCAUUCAAGAGAAAUCUUCGUCGUACUUUGAAGCGGCAAGAGAUGAACAAAGAAAACAAGUCUCAACAAACCCAACUUAAUAGGUUUAUCGCCGGGCCCGACGUUUUGGCCCAUAACCACUAUGCACCCUUGAGAUUUGUGAGAAAAAACUCACCUACUGCCAUUCUGCUCCCCGAGUCAGAAAUGGCCCAUUUAAAACCUUCUUUUGCAUGUCCUUGCUUGAGAAACAAUGACAAGAACUCUGUCUUCAAGCAGAUAUAUAAAACUUUUAAGGCUGCAAAAGGAAGAAUGAACCUAGAGAAGAAAAUUGAGAAGUCGAAGUGGCAACGAAAGUCAACACUAUCAUGGGAAGGAAGAAAGACAGAGUGGAAGCCUAAAACUCUUGCUCAGAUUAAAGAAGAAAAAUCUAAAAUAGAGAAUUUGGAGAUUCACACUGUGAGAGUUAUUGGACACACGCCGUCAAGUGAGGCCGUUGAUGAAGAAGAAACUAUUCAGCAAAUUCUUACGAGAGCUGCUGCAAGAAAAGCCGCGGAAGAGAAAGCAAGAGCUAAGGAAGCAAGCUCUUCGCAAACACAAAAUAUGGAGAAUAAAGAUGAUAUGCCUAGUGAUCCAUCUGACCCCCGAGAGGAAGAGGAGGUUGUCUACUUCUCAAGGGAUCCAAAGGAUGUUAUGAUUGCAUCCUUGAAAAAGAAAGUUGAUGAAAAGGAUAGAGAUAUCAUAAAUCUCUAUAAGAAGAUGGAGGAGGUCAUGAGUUUGAUGUUGAAUGUGCAGAAGCAAUUGGGGGAUCAACGGCGUCAAACCAAGAUUCUAACCCAGCCGGAAGCACACAUACCACAAGUCAUUGAUGAACAGGCUAAAACAACUGUUCUUAAAGAGACUACCUCUUUGACUAAGGAAGAAAUUCAUGAUUUGAUCACUUCGCAAGUUAAAGAGACGGUAGCAGGGGCACAUCCAAAACUGAAAGGGAAAGGACACCCUUACCUAUCGGAAUACGAUAACGUACCUUUUCCAGAAGGGUAUCAGGUCCCUAAGUUCAAGAUGUUCUAUGGUGUUGGUAACCCUGAUCAGCAUAUAGCACAUUUUAAGGCCAUGUGUGGAAAUACGGGGAGUAACGGACCUCUACUCUUGCGACAAUUUCCACAAAGCUUAUCAGGUAUAGCUUUUGAAUGGUACUACUCCCUCGAAGAUGAGUCCAUUAAAACUUGGGCCGACAUGGAAGAAGCUUUCAGAGCAAAAUUCGCCACCGUUAGCGAUAAGAUUACUAUCGCUGAUCUGGUAGCCACCAGACGAAGAAAAGAUGAAACAAUGCUAGAUUACAUUACAAGGUGGCGGAACUUAAGUAUAAGGUGUGAACAACCUCUAGACCAGUCUCAAGCCGUUGGUCUUGUCAUGGGCAAUAUUGAUAAUUGGAUGGCCCCUUUUCUCUGCACAUCUAGUUGUUCCACUUUUCAUGAAUUAAUAUCAAAUAUUUCUAGAUUGGAGAGAACCGAUCCCCAGGUCCUCUUAAACUUACAAAAGAUAAAAAAAGAUGAUAACAAAAGAGUUGAGGCGAAGUUGGCACAGGCUAGACCGGCCCGCACAAAUAUGAUAGAGAAAGGAAAGAAGGCAAUUACCUCUACAGUUGAACAGCCCCCUGUAAAACCUGUGUUAGGGGGUAAUAAUCCAAAAGGGAUUUCUUUAGAGGAGCGAAGAAACAAAGUAUACCCUUUCAAACGGGACAAAGUUAAGAAAAUAUUUAACGAUGCUGUUAAAAAUGGUCUUCAACUGCCGGAGCCAAAGAAGCCAGAGGAUGUAGGGAAAACCAGUGAUCCGAACUAUUGCCUAUAUCAUAGAUUAAUCAGCCAUCCAAUUGAAGACUGCUGGGUUUUCAAAGACUGGGUUGAAAAACAAUAUAGGAGCGGUGCAAUCACUCUUUCACAAUCAGUGUUAUCAGAAGCUCCAGUCGAAAAGACCAAUCUGAUUGAUACUGAAAAUAUAGAAGAAGUUGAGAAUGCAUUUCCUCCCGAGUUUUGGAAUAUAUUCUUAUCUAAGAAAACUCGAAAGAUGUUAAAAUAUUUAAAAGAUGUUCCAGGAAUAAAAUGGCGAGGUCCCUUAAACCCAGAAGUGCAAUCUGAGGAUAAGCCCACACCUCCAAUCAAAAAGAUUAAUACUUCAGCCAAGUCAAGGCGCAGAAUAACUCGGGUAAAGAAGAAUAAAAAAUUUGUUGAGCCGGCUCAACCACAACAUAAGAAGCGGCCUAUUGAGGAACAUAUCGACUCAAUGGAAGAAUAUAAACAAGUUGAAAGAGAGCCUCUUAUGAUUCAUGAUUUUAUUUUUAAAGCAAUAGAAGAGGUUAAGAAAAAAAAAGGACUCUGAUGAAAGAGAAAUUCCUGUCGAGGAGUGUAAAGAGAAAUGAGAGCCUUUUUGGGGAGAGACUUGCAUAGUCAUCACCGCACAACGUGACGAUGAAGAAAUUAUCUUUCCUUCUAGCCACGUUAGGGAACAAGAAAGGAACCUCAGAGAAGUUCAUAACUAAUUGGCAGAAAUAAAAGAAAUGACGCGCUACAACUUUCACAAGGCGAAUGAUAAAAUAUUGGAUAUGAAAGCACAACUGAAUGUAAUGUUCUCUAUGUUGAUCGGGAUCGAAGCCAGAGUGGAACAAUUAAUGAAGAUUACUCCUCUCCCUCAACAGACUCAGUCGCAAAAUAAUAGAGAACGAGAUAUCGAGCCUACAAGUGGAUCUUCAAAACAGCUCCCACUCGAAACUCCUCAAAAAGAUAAAGGAAAAACUCCCCUUAUAGAAGCCAAAAAUAAGGGUGGAGUCAAUAAAAAAUUUAACAAAAGGGAAUGUUCGAGAACGACGCCGACGGGAGGCGUUAAUUCUUAGUAUUCUGACAGCAAAAAUACAUCUAUAUAUUACCCUUUUCAUCAAGUGAAUGUCAUAACCUAGAAAACUGUCGUGUCAUUACGACAUCUGAUGACGUGCUAGAAAGACCUGCGCCGACCUUGAGAGCAAAUCAACAGACAUCCACACCAAACUAUAAUGCUUAUGUUGAUCCUUUGGAAUUAUACGACACUUCAACUUAUCAUGAUCCAAUGAAGAAAUUAUAUAGAAUGGAGUGUUGCUUAAUCAGAAUGGAGGGAGAAAUGAGGAGGCUGCACAAUGAAAUUAACGUUAUGAAGAUGAACGUGAACGAAAUAAUCGAUGGUAUAAAAGGCAUAGAUAUUCAAAUGAGAGCUAUCAUAGAUAUGCUCAAAACCGAUGUUACUGAAGUAUCGAAAAGAUAUCGGGUCGAGAUUUGUCGAGUCAUAACUAUGCAAGCUGAUUUAAAGGAAGAUGAUAAGAAGCAAGGCUCGGAGCAAUCAAAGUUAACAAAAGCCGAAUACGACGCAAGUUUCUAUGAAGCACACAUAAUUGCUCAAGAGCUUAAAAGAAUGUCGAUGAGAGGAAAUGCGGGGUCAUCUUUACUAAAAAAGAAGAAGAAUACAACCCUAAACCAGCAAUCAGAAGUUCACCAAAAUAAUAAAGCUCUAAUUAAAGGGAAUAACGAAGAAAAGAAUAAAGUUACGUUGACAGAAUUCUGUGCCUAUCAUAACAUAUGGGGACACACCCUGGAAAAUUGCCGCCAAUGGAAAAACAUGAAGAAUUUGCCUAUGCACAAGGCGAAGCCAAAGAUCGAUCAACCGACGGUUGCCGAAUCCAAAAGACAACGAUGGAAGAAACAUUUUCCACGAUUUGAGAAACAGCAAUCCAUUACUCCAGAAGAAUUCAGAAAAGCAUGCUAUAAUGCUUUGGAUGAUAUGAAAUUUGUUGUUUUUGGUGUGGAAUGAGAGGUCAUGCUUAUGAUGUAUGCGUGAAACUUCGGGACCAUAGAAAAAACAAAUUACAGUUCAAGGAGUCGUGUCGGGUAAUAACAAUCUCCGAAGAGCAAUCUGAAGACUCCGUAAAUCAAAGGAAUAUGGUUAGACAACCUGCUGUGGCAUGUGAAGAUAGUGAUAGUGCCUGGAUAGCAUACAAUACCCCCAGCAGGGAUAACGGUGCAAGGAAGUCGAAUAGUCAUUUCUCGAAAUAGACAAUGAUUAUGAGGGAGGAGUGCACAGAUUGAUGUAUGCACUCUAGCAACAACAUGACGUGUGUGGCUAUGGCAUAAAAAAUAUGAAAGAGCUAAAUAAAAGAGAUACUUUGAUAAGUUUGAAUAUUAUUGAAAAGACUAGAAUUCGAAGUGCCGAAAACUAUUAGCCUGUGGCUUGUCGAUUUUCUAAUAACGUGCUAACACACUGGAUCUGUCUGAAAUUGCGAGUUCGGGAUUGGGUAUGUUCGAGCUUUUCCAUAUUUCGUGCGUGGAGUUUGUAGAAUGUCUUUUCCGACCGUAAAAGGGGUCGAAACUGAAAUUCCUGGACAGUCCUGAGAGUUUUUACUCUCGGGGACCGGUCCCUGGAAGGAGAAGACGCGUCCCCAAUGAGCAGUGUUGUGGCGCCUUGAGGCAACCGGCCUGGCAGGGAGACGUCCCGAGAGGGUAUAUGUGAUUUAUACGUGACGGCUCCUUUAAUGGAUUGGGGCUGUUGGUUUUGAUGCCAGGACGGGAAAGUGAUUCGGUAGCAUCUCCGCAAUUGAAGGAUUAUGAGAGGAACUAUCCCUACUCAUGACUUGGAUUUGGGGAGCCGUAGUCUUUGAAUUGAGCGUUGGCGCCAUUACUCUAUGAGCGAGCGAAUGCGAAGUAUAUACGGAUCAUCCAAAAGUUAAAGUAUCUAUUUCACUCAGAAGGAGUUGAGGACCAGCAGCAGAAUGCGUUGGAUCUAAUCAGGAUUGAUGACUUUGACGAUACCCUUGACACCGGGCAAGACAACGUGGUGCGGAUGCGCUAAGUAGAAAGAUCGGCACUUGAGAACUUAGCGAUGCGUGGUGGUUAUCAACCGCCGUUGAUCGGCAGAUUGAAGCGGUUGGAGUUGGAGGUGGUGCGCUCCUGAACAACCUUGGGAGACGGGGAUUGGCUUUGGUGGUCGUGCAACCUACACCUUUUGGAAAAGGAAUUUAAAGAAAAGCAAGCUUCCGACGGGUUGCAAUAAGAUUCGAGCUAGGGGGUUGACUGUUUUGCACCGAUGACUUCACUUUUAGACUGUGUGGAUUGAUGCGUUUCCGCGGCACCGAUUUGUGUACGGCGGACUUGGGCAUUAAAGAGCGAUAUUCUUUAAGAAGCACAUCGGAGCACCGUAUGCUUUGCAUCGGGAGGCACAAGAUGUACAAGGAUUGAAAGUUGCUUUAUUGGUAGCCCGGGUAUGAAAAGGAUGUGGUGCAGUUCGUUGCUAGAUGUUUUAAAUCUUGCCAACAGAGUGAAGCGGCUGCAGCAGCCGAGCUUCUGCGGGGAAGCUGCCAGCACCUUACCGGUUCAGUGUGGAAGUGGAAAAGGAUCAUGAUGGAACUUCUGAGGGAUUGCCUCGCUCACAGGCUCCUGGGCAUGAUUGCAUUUGGGUGAUCGUGGAUACGAAUUGCGCGAAAUCGGGCACAUUGUCAUACUCUAUCCGCCCCCCACCACUACUUGGGAUGGUGAUGAGACUCUGCACAGGUUUUUUUGACGAGAUUGUGCCGAUGCACGGGUACCUACUUCUAUAGGUUCGGAUCGAUAGAUACCCGUUUUGUAUCCCACUUGGUUGGCGGAGUUACAGGACAACGUUUUGGGUACACACUUGGAUUUCACCACUGCUUUCACCCCCAGAGUGACGGGCAGUCAGAGCGUACUGAUUCAGACUUCUCAGGAGGACAUGUUUCGCGUUGUGUGAUUGACUUUCAGGGAGGAUGGUGCAGCCUCAUAUCCGAUGGCAGACGUUUGCUAUGAUAACAAUAGCUUUAUGAAGGCAAGCAUCAAGAUGGCACUGUAAUCGAGGACUCUAUGGACGAAGUGUAGAUCGCACUUAUUGGAGUGAAGUUGGUGAGAAGAUUGGCUUUUGCCCUGUAUGUGGCGUCCAGGAAGCAGAGGACAGGUUCGCAAUUGCUCGGGAGCCGAAUUGUUGACCGGCCAGAGUAGGCCAAGCAGGAGUUAUGCUGACAGGCGGCGACGAGACUUGGAGUUUCAGAUUGGAGAUCACGUCUUCUUGAAAGUCUUGUCGACUCGAGGAAUUAAAUGAUUUGGAAUCCGGGGCAAGUUGAGCCCUCGAUUUAUUGGACCGUUUGAGGUUUUGGAGCGGGUAGGCCCGGUAGCGUAUAGACUUGCUCUACCGCUGAACCUAUCGGGUGUACACAACGUAUUCCAUGUAUCGGUCCUUCAGAAGUACAUCCACAACCCGGCUCACGUGUUGGAUGCUACGCCUUUGGAGCUGAGGGAUGAUUUGAGCUUUGAAGAGCAACCCUUGAGGAUUUUGGCUCGCGAGGUAAAAAGAUUGCGGAACCGAGAAAUUCCCUACGUGAAGGUGCUUUGGAGCAACCACGAAGAGCGCGAGGCAACUUGGGAACUGGAAAGCGCGCUGCGGGAGCGCUAUCCUCAUCUUUUUCAGAUGGAGGCUUGAGGUAUUUGUCAUUUCGAGUUUCGCGGACGAAACUCCUUUUUAGGAGGGGUGAAGUAACACACUGGAUCUCUGCAAAUUGCGAGGUUCGAGUGCUUGGAUGUAUUUCGAGCUUUUCCACACUUGGUGGAGGGUUGUAGAAUAUUUUUCGACCUAAAAAGUUCGAAAACUGGAAUUCUGGACAAGUCCUGAGAGUUUUUACUCUCGGGGACCGGUCCUUGGAAGGAAAGACCGGUCCCCCAGUGAGCAGUGUUGUGGCAGCCCUGAGGCAACCGGUCCCUGGCAGGCGAGACUGGUCCCCGAACUCAUCUUCGCAGUGAGAGACCGGUCCCGCGCAGGGAGAGACCGGUUUUCGAACGUUGGUUUUUCGGGUUCACAGCGAGAGACCGGUCCCUGCUGGGGAGAGACCGGUCCCUCUGGGCGAAAACUACCCAGACUGGGCUGUUGUAAUUUUGGAUUUUUGGGGGACCUAGCUGGAUUUUGUUACAAUAGAGGGUCUAUAUGACCCAUCCACUCUCUCCUCUCCUCAUUUCUCUUCUNAUAAGGCGUCUACAAUAAAAGCGGAAGUAAAAGCAAGAAAUAUAACAAAAGAAAGGAACUACAGCUAAUGAUAUCAGAGCAGUAAGAUUCUAUCUUCUAUAACAGUAGUAAAAGAACAACUAAACCAUAAAAGUAAACGUAAAGUAAUACAAUGCCUGUCUCAAAAGUACAAAAAUGGUGGUCUCUAGUACACUGGUAAAACUCUCAACCUCUCUAAAAAAGAAACAAAGAGAGGUAGACCACCUAUCAAACGAUCCCUCGGCGAGGAAAGCUAGCCCGAGACGAUACCCUUUCCGCGAUCCCUAGCCUCUCCCGGCGUGGAAGGCUCUGAAAAGCAUCGAGAAAAAGAGGGCGUGAGAACUAUAAUUUAUAGUUCUCAGUGGGCAAUUACUGACCUCAGCUCAAUGCACCACUAGGCCCCAAAGAAAAGGGUAAGUAAAAAGAGGGCAAUAAUAAUGAAUAAACUGCAUUUAUGAAAGCAUAAUUAAAAUGCUAAACUACUACACUGCAAUUAACAGGAUGUUAAUAUAAUACACCUUUAUUUUGUCAUAACCAAUAUGUCUCUACAUGGCCACAAUUAAAAGUCACGGUUUACUUAAUGAAGUUAUGAAGAUCAUGCUUUAUCAUGGCAACAAUGUAUAUAUGAAUGCAAUAAGCAACCUCUCCUAGCAUGCUACAUGUAUGUAUGUAUACUCAAAUAUCCCAAAACUAUGCUAGAAGCAAGUCCAAGUAAUCCAACUACCACUCUCUAUCUAGUAGUGAUUAUAACACACUCGACAUUGUGUCGAUUUCAAUUUCCAAUUAAGAACCUACCAAAGGUAGUCCAGCUUGUGCCGCCUAAGUGCCUGUGGUAGCCCAACAUUCCUACUCUUGGAAUGUGUCUAUCCCACUCGACCCCGCAGGCUUUUCAAUACCGCACGAGCGAACAUAGGUCGCGUAGGCUAACUCCGGAGUGCCGGCUUGUAGGGAGCGACCCUCACAAGCAUGUGCGAAUAAGCACAAAUGGCAAGCAAUCAUGGUCCAAGUCUCAAGUAUCCAAUCCUCAUGUCUCUAACAUGGUAUAGUCACUAGCAUCCCGAAGAUCUAGUUCUAAGUCACAAUGUGAAGUUUCGACAUUCAUUACGCCUAGUGCCCCUUGAUGACACUUAGACAAGUUAAUGUUCAACAUGUUUCCAAUCCCUCAAUGGCCCUAUUUACUAGGUUCAACCAUGUCCCGAGCUCAAUGCCGCUUAAUGACAUUAGCCCUCUAAAUCACAUAAUAACCAAGUUCGGUGCCUCUAUAUGGCAAUUUUGUUAUCUCUCAUGUCUCAAUUAAACUUAAGUUUGAAUGCAUGUAUCAAGGCUCAUUUACACAAUAGAAACAUGAAACCAAGUCUCAUAUAGAACGCUAAUGCAACCCUAUGUCUCUCAAGCAACUCUCUACUACAUAGAGGUCCAAAAUUUCAUUACAUGUAACAUAGGCAUUUUAAGCAUUCUAAAAAUCAUAAUAAAUGCACGUAACAUGAAUUUGCAUGCUUUUUCAAUUAACGAUACUCAAAUCAUCACAAAUGAGAUUUUCUCAUUGUGUGGCUAGAUCAAACCCACCGAACCGUCGCAUGGUCCUUCGUUUCGCCGAACGGAGUUAUCCACGAGUCUCAAAAUACCCUAAAAGUAUUGAGCGGAGAGAUACACGGGCAUUACGAUCAAGUAUAAGAUCAAACAUUAACCUAAAAGCAAAAAGGGCCAAAACUCACCUCAAGAAAAGAAAUCUCUUCCAAAGCUCCAAAAGAGAGCUAGAACCCUUCCAAUCUAGCCUAGAGGAAGGUUCUAAUCCAACCAAUCUAGCCUCAAAAGCCCUAGAAUCAAAAUACCCAAAAUAAGCCCUAAAUCUAUAAUCUAGGGUUCCAUCUACCAUAAGGCAUCAAAACCAAAAUCUAAAGGGAGAGAAUAAGCUACCAACCUCUUAGAAGCUUCCAACAAGGUUCAAAGUCUCCAAGGUCCAAGAAUCUCUCCUCCAACAAGCUCCAAACCCAAGCUCUAAUAGUGGAAAUGCCUCUAAUAAUCCAAAAAGAGCAAAAGAAGGGUUUAAUCUCUUAAAAACCUGUAAUAUACCGAAAAAUUCGGAAAAUAAAUAUCGAACUUUAGUCAAAUAGACCAAAGUGCGAGGAUGGUACACUUCGGAAAGCCCGAAGGUGUUAAAAUGACUAAAGGUGAGUUUCGGGAGGUUUUCGAGAGCUAAAAUUGUGAAAUUUGCAUUCUGCAGGUUUUCAGCUCUCGGGGACCGGUCCCUGGUGGGAGAGACCGGUCCCCGAACGCGUAUGAAAUGAGAUAGCCGAAAAAUCGGCUAAGUCCUGAGAAAUUAGCUCUCGGGAACCGGUCCCUACCCGAGAGACCGGUCCCCGAGAGACCGGUCCCACCAGGAGAGACCGGUUGCACUGCGCGCAGCAGCUCUGGCUGCGCUGGGACGACGUUCCGGAACCGGUCCCUGAAGGAGAGACCGGUCCCCGCCUGCGUGAACUGCCCAGUUCGGGCAGUGUAUUAAAGUGAAAGUUAAGGGGUUUAGCUGCAAUUUUGCAACCCAUUGAGUAUAGUAUUGGGGUAAAUGAGAUAUUUCUCUCAUUCUCACCCUCUCACACUCUUCUCUCUCACUCUCUCUCUCUAGAAGACAAAGGAGAAGAAGAAGAAAGGAAGAAAAGAAGGAGAAGAAGGAAAAGAAGGUGAAGAAGAAGAUCAAGGAGCAAAGGAGCUCCAUCCUCUUCCUCUCUAGUGCAAGAAAAGGAAGCUUAUAAGGUAAGCUUUGAACCCUAAUGUGGUAAAACCCUAGAAAUGGGUUUGGAUGACCUAGAAAUGGGUUUUAGUGAAAUGUUUAGAGAGUUUUGAAGCUUUCUUUUGCUUCUUUAGAGAUCAAAACCAUGGUUGGGCUCAAGGUGAGCUUCAACCCACCUCUAAUGGUGAAAUCUAAUCUAGGGUGUUGGAAAGCCUAAGAAUGGUUCUAAUGGACUAUUUGGAGUAUAGUGAAGCUACUUUUGCUUCCCAAAGAGAUCAAACCCUAGGUUUUGAUAUACAUUGGAGCUAGGGCACCCAAAUUGGGGCUUUUGCUCAUGAGGGUUUUUAAGUGUAAUUGACCCUCCAAAAACCUAAUUGGGGGUAUUUCCGACGCGUUGGUGCGCUCGGAUUAACGCUACGAAAAGUCAAAGUAAAGUUAUGAGCAAAAUGGCCUAAUAAGGGUUCGUUUUGCCACAGGUAAGGAACGAAGCAUCUAAAAAUCCCAAGAAAAUCGUCGGAGCACCUUUGAAAGCCUACGAGGUGGGUGGCGCUUCUCAAACUCAUUGAACUUCUCUCUAUGCCUAAUGUGUCAUUCAUUUGAGCAUGUGUAAUAUAUAUUGUUGCAUGCAUAUUAGGGUAAAGUAAUGAUAAGAAUGUGAUGAUAGCAUGAUUGUGAGUACAACUUGCUUAUAAUGAUGGUAGAGAACCAAAUAAAUGUCAAAACCCUAAGUGUAUGCAUUAGAGAAAAGUGAGCACCCAAAGUGAGCAAAAGAACAGAGUGACACAAUGACAUAGAUCGAGUGGCAUUCGAAAAUGUAAAGUUAAGAGACACUAAAGUUAGUGUGAUGCCAAGAACUAAUGUGAUGUAAAGAAUAAUGAAAAUGACAAUGUGUAAUGUUAAAGUAAAGUGGAGCAAUAAGAAUAAGAAAUGUAUGGACAAGAAUGCUAGAGCUAGCUGAAGUAAAGAAAUGUAAAGAAUGUGAUUGCAUGAGUUUGCAACAUAAAGCGAUGUAAAGAACACUAGAGCUAGUGUAAAGUCAAGAUUGAACUUAUAAAUCCUUUGAGUUAAGGAUAUGAUCAUACUUGCUAUAAGUUCCGUGCUCGAGGGCGGUCGCUCCCCCUCGGGCGAUGCGCUCAGGAGUUAUGCAUCACGGGUUGGAGUAAACCCGAAGGACGGUCCUAGCUGGUGAGUUUCUGCGAUGAUGGACUUAAUGUGAAGCAAGUUAAUGUGGCGAAACCUCCGGGUUAGCCUUGAGAUUAAAGAACAAAGAGCAAAGAAUAAAGAACAAAGUACAAAGUAAAGUCAAAGAACGAACGAGUUUGCAUAAUCUGCAUAUAUUUAAUGUUGAGCAAUAUUCGUUCAGGCAUAUAGCAUCAUGUUAUAGAUUGGUUAUCUAUAUCCUGCUUGUCUUUUCUAUUAUGCUGAGUUAGUCUAGUGGAAGUCGGUGAUGUUGAGGCCGAACCCACUGGGACUUUGUUGUAGUUCUCACCCCACUAUUUCCACAGAGCGGGACCGAUGCGAGCCGCGACGACCGAGGUAAAAGUAUCACGAGGCCACCAAAGUUGGGGUACAUUUUGUUAGUAGACACCCUUUUAUCAUCUUUUGUAUUUGAUGACUAGUAAUGUAAAGAAAAGAAUGUAAUGUGUAUUUUGAGGUAAAUGGGAUGUAAGAAAGAAAUGAUGAAAUGAAAUGUAAGGAAUUCGAAAAUGAACAAGAUGAAUGCAAGGUAUAUGAUCAAAAGUGAAUCAUAGUACAAGUGAAUGUUAGUUUCCCUUUUCUUUCACUAAUGGCUAUUGCUUACCCUCGUGUAAGCCGUUUAUGUAUGUUUCCGCUAGUGCUUUUCUCUAUCGAUGAAAAUGUACAUGUGAUGAGCCUUGGGCGGAUAGGGAAAACUCUGUCCGUUCGGCGUCUGUUUGACGUGCUCGGGUCGGGCCAAAUUGGUAUCGGUCCCGGGGCGUAACAAAACCGAAACAAAAUCAAAGAAAUCAAAGAGGAGAGUGUGGAGGGCUCCCUUACCUCUCCUCUUGCUGCUGGUGAGCACAGGGGAGUCCUCAAGGGCGUGGGUGUUGAUAUAAGCAGUCCACAAUUGCAAAAACACCCCUGCAGUUCAAACUGCACGAAAUCAGCCUCCUUGUACCGGUACACGGGCCCCUGUACCAGUACAAGCCCUACGAAACAUCACAACCCGAGGCUCGGGUUGGGGGUUCAACGACUCUGUACCGGUACAAGCCCGGUGGCUGUAUGUAGUAUCUUGAACUUUGCAAAACUAUAGAAGUUGGAAGUGGGGCUGAGGAGUGGCAUGUAACCACAGGUCCUAAUAUUCGUAAAAGUGUUUUGGGUCAAUUUUGAGAGCUAUUAGACUUUUGGAUGUAAGAAAGUGCGUCGUCGAAGCGACCCUGAAACUUAUUAUAUUAUAGUUUACUGAACUUCAACAGUUUGCACAGUUCGAGUGAGGAAUGACAUUUGGAACCUUCCCAUAUGUUCAAAAGGGUUCAAAGAUGUUUACAAAUUAGUUUGAGAGUGGUCGGAAAGCUAGAAGUGAGAAAGUGCAUUGCAAUUGCGAAAUCUGCAAUUUCUGUAUUGGUGUACCGGUACAAGCCUAAUGCUGUACCGGUACAGCAAGCAGCAGAGUCAGCUGCUGCGGGACAACAGGGUUGUUCUGGUCUUUUCACAUCUUUUUCUCAUCCUUAUCUUCCCAGCUCGACCCCUGGACCUCUCUAGAUGGUACUGGAGCUCAGAGAAGACCCCUUCACCUCCUCCACACUCUCUCUCUCUAGGGUUUUCUCUCUCUACAAAGAAAUCGCCGAUUUCGCUCGUGUUCGUCACAAUGUUGGUUUUUCGGCACGUUGCGAGCGUUGCUGAACCUACGAGGAUGUGUGAGGGAGUACUUUGGAAGGAUUUUCGCAGCCCUAGACCCUCAAAGUGCUGUUUGUAGGCCUAAUAAGGUAAUCGACUCAGUCUCUUUGUUAUUAACGCUCUAUUAGUCGAUUUAAGUAUCGAUUAUGGAUUUCUGCUUCCAACUAGGUUAGGCUGAGGUUUCAGCUGUUAGAAAGGAGUUGAUUACCUGUGAGUUAACCUCCUUAGACCUGGGACAUGUUACUUUUAAGCUGAAUAGAGAUGUUUAGCUAUUUAUGAUACUAAUUCGAGCUAUAUACAGGUGAUUGGAUCUAAUUGACGCAGUUUGAACUCUUCCUUUCGCAGCAGGGUUGUGAAUUAAAUUGAGCUCAUUUGGUGACUGUGGGAACUUGUUUAAAAGGUGUUCUAACUCAAGGUAAACAAGAAUUUCAGUUAGGAAGCUGAAAUUGCAAGAAUUCGACUAUAGAAGCCUGCAUAAGAGUAUUCUAAUGCCGUUUUGACGUUGUUCGCAGCAGGAGUGUGAUCGACUCUUGGAGUGAUUUUAGCUGACCGGUGGAAGCUCUUGAAGACUCGACUUGAGGUAUUAAACUGUUGAAGCAGGGGGAUUCAAGCUAUUACCUUGUACUAAAUGUAAUUUAGGCCGAAAUCGGACAUUUCGGUCGUCAUUUUGACGCGGUGUUAAUGUUUGUUUUCAGCAGGGUUGGAGCCUUGUGGAGCUGAUUAUUGCGGCUUCUUGUGACUAUUUGGAGCUUAGUACUAGGUGGGUUUGACCUAACCAGAGCAAGUGAAGCUCCCCCUAUGUUCUAUAUGUAUGGAAUUAAUAUAGUUGGGCGAUAUUGGCGCAAUAUGGUUGUUUGGUACUUCUUUGCCAUAACCUUGAAUAAGACCCUCUAUGAAAUAGAGAGAACUCAUGCGUAAUUGUACUUAUGCUUAUGUUUAUGUUUGUCGGUAGUUAAGUUAAAUAACUAAUGGGCAUGAUAAUUAUGCUUUUGUAAAGUAGAGAACAAUGAUAUUCUCGUGACUUUAUCGAUUAUAAAGUAGAGAACAAUGACAUGCCACGUGACUAUAUAGAGAGUGUCAUAAUGGUGGAAACAUUUUAAUGCCAUAUAUUAACUAGCCUUACUCUCACAUGUUUGUUAAUCUAGUGGAUGCUAGUUGUUGUCAAUAUUGGUUAUAUUGAAAUUCCGAUCAAAGGAUCGAGAGUGAGAAUACUGUGAUAGUUAAGACAUGUCGGAAUAUGGACCUUGCUUGCUUGCCAUCGUGCCCAUUCGCACUUGCUUGUGAGGGUAGCUCCCUACAAGCCGGCACUCCGGAGUUGGCCUACGCGACAGUUGCUCGCCCGUGCGGGAUUGGGUGCCGAAGUGGAUUGCCGUGGGGAGUGUACACUACCACGGGGCCAUUAGGCGCGGCGCAAGCUGAAUUACCCUGGGAAGAUCUCUAUGAAUGAAAGGAAAGUGUUAAAGGAAAUGGAACAGUAAUGAAUGAUUAUCAGUUACAGUGUACCAUAGUUACUUACACAUUCAUACUUAUGAUCAUGCUUAUCAUAGUUGCUAUGCUUUUAUUAUUCACUCGAUUCAUUACUGUUGAGAUUAUGAUUACACAUUGCUUUCGUACUCAUUACCUGUUGGCAUUGCAUAGUUGUAUAUCAUGCAAUUACUGCUUUUACUUUCAUCCAGUACAUCAUGAGCCUAGUGGUGUAAUUCGCCGAGGCUGGCGGCUUACCCACUGGGAACUAUUGUUUAUAGUUCUCACGCCCUUUUUGUUGUUAAUUUUACAGAGCCAUCUACAGAAGAGGCUAGGGAUCGUGGCAAGGGAGUCGCGUCUAGCUAGACAUUGCUAGGAGCGUGCUAGUCGAUCACCUUGCUACUCGGGCUACGGCCGAGGGUAAUGUCCAUUGUAUAGAGUGACUACCAUUGUACAGAUGUUUUGUGUACCCUGUGCUGUAUAUGAGUUGUAGAUCCAGAUAUUAUAGUUCCUACUUCUUCUCUUUUUGCUGAGAUUUUGGAUUGUAUACUCUUUGUUCUUUUACUGAUAGUAUAUCGACUUAUACAUUGCUCUGAUAUCAGGAUAGGACUCUCUCUCUUUUAUUUCCUAUCGACUUGCUUUCUUCGUAGACGCCUUGUAUACUGCAGGUGUAUGGCGGGUCUGUGCACGUACCGGAUAUGCUUCCGCUGGUACCCGGGCGUGACACUGUACCGGUACAACCAUCAACCCUGUACCGGAACAACCAUCAGCUUGUACCGGUACACAGCCCUGAAAACAGCAAUCCGAGAGCAGCCUAAGUCGAACUUUUUGGUGACCUUAGGGCUACUUUAACUACCUCAAGUCUUGGGAUACGAGCCAUGGGUCGGAACUCUGUCAACGACCUACCAGAAAAUCUGGAAAUGCUCAGAAUAUAACUCAGACACUCGAACCUCACAAUUUGCAAAGGUCCAGUGUGUUACACAAGGCUAACGUGGUGGCGGAUGCGCUAAGUAGGAAAUCAACGAAAAAUUUAGCGAUGCAUGUUGUUACUCAACCGCGGUUGAUCGAGUAACCGCGGUUGAUCGAGUAGAUGAAACGGUUGGAGUUGGAGGUAGUGACUCCUGACACACCUUUGAGAUUGAUGACGUUGGUAGUUCAACCUACACUCUUGGAUAGAGUUAAAAAGAAGCAAGCUUCCGAUGUGGAGCUGCAAAGGAUUAAAGGUAAAAUGGUUGAUGGUUGCACCGGCGACUUCCUUGUGGAUGACAAAGGAUUGAUACGUUUCCGUGGACGGAUUUGUAUACCGGCGGAUUCGGGAAUUAAAGAGGAUGUCCUUCAAGAAGCGCACCGAGCGCCCUAUGCUAUUCAUCCAGGAGGCACCAAGAUGUACAAGGACUUGAAGUUGCUUUAUUGGUGGCUCGGGAUGAAAAAGGACGUUGGCGAGUUUGUAGCUCGUUGUCUAACUUGCCAGCAAGUAAAGGCUGAGCAUCGAUUACCCGCGGGAAAACUUCAGAGUUUGCCGAUUUUCGUGUGGAAGUGGGAGAAGAUCACCAUGGAUUUCGUGACUGGAUUGCCUCGCUCUCAGGCCGGGCAUGAUGCUAUAUGGGUGAUCGUGGAUAGGUUGUCGAAGUCCGCGCACUUCAUACCUAUUCAUACUACUUAGAUCGGAGAGAAGCUCGCACAAGUGUACCUUGAUGAGAUUGUGCGACUUCACGGAGUGCCUAUUUCGAUCAUAUCGGAUCGAGACACUCGAUUUGUGUCUCAUUUUUGGAAGAGUCUGCAGGACGCCUUGGACACUCGAUUGGACUUUAGCAUUGCUUUCCACCCUCAGAGUGAUGGGCAGUCGGAGCGCACCAUUCAGACUUUAGAGGAUAUGCUCCGAGCAUUUGUGAUAGACUUUCAGGGAGGAUGGUCGCAGCAUCUACCGAUAGCGGAGUUUGCUUGUAACAACAGUUAUCAAGCAAGCAUCAAGAUGGCGUCCUUCGAAGCACUUUAUGGACGGAAGUGUAGAUCGCCACUUCAAUGGAGUGAAGUUGGCGAGAGAUUGGCAUUGGGCCCUGAUGUGCUCCAGGAAACUGAGGACAAGGUUUGAAUUGCUCGGGAGCGACUUUUGACGGCGCAGAGUAGACAGAGGAGCUACGCCGACCGACGACGGCAAGACUUGGAGUUCCAAGUUGAAGACCAUAUUUUCUUGAAGGUCUCGCCGACUAGAGGGAUCAAGAGAUUCCGGAUUCGGGGUAAGUUGAGCCCCCGUUUUAUUGGACCAUUUGAGAUUUUGGAGCGUGUAGGCCCGGUGGCGUAUCGACUUGCUCUACCACCGAACCUAUCGGGCGUGCACAACGUCUUUCAUGUAUCGGUCCUUCGGAAGUACAUCCACGACCCGGCUCAUGUGUUGGAUGCUACACCUUUGGAGUUGUGGGACGACUUGAGCUUCGAGGAGCAACCAGUGAGGAUUUUGGCUCGCGAGGUGCGAAAACUGCAGAUCGGGAUAUUCCGUAUGUAAAGGUUCUUUGGAGCAACCACGGGGAGCGGGAGGCCACGUGGGAGCUAGAGAGCGCGCUGCGGGAGCGCUAUCCCCAUUUUUUUCAGAUGGAUUCUUGAGGUAUGUGUUUGCUUUCGAGUUUCGCGGACGAAACUUCUUUUUAGGGGGGGUGAAUGUAGCACAUUGGACCUUUGCAAAUUGCGAGGUUCGAGUGUUUGAUAUGGAUUUCAAACUUUUCCACACUUAGUGGAAGGUCGUAGAUGGUAUUCCGACCUAAAAGUUCGAUCUCUGGAGUUUUGAUUUUGUCCUGAGAGUUUUCACUCUCGGAGACCGGUCCCUGAAAGGAGAGAUCGGUCCCCUCAGAACAGUGUUGCGGCCAGCUUGAGGCAACCGGUCCCUGGCGGAGAGAGACCGGUUCCCGAACGUUGGAUUUUCGGGGCAGGCUGAGAGACCGGUCCCAUGUCGGGGAGACCGAUCCCUUAGUCCGAAAACUGCCCUGUCCGGGCAGUGCACAGUGUUGAUUGUUGAGGGGCUUAUCAGGAUUUUGUUACAUUAGAAGGCCUUUAGAGCCUUUCUCCUCUCUCUUUCUCUCAUUUUCUCCCCUUCAUACCUACCCUAGAGAGAGAAAGAGAAGGAGAAAAAUGAGAAAUAGGAGAAGGAGAGGAGAGGAGCUUGCUUGGAGGCUUUAGAGCAUCAUCUUCUUCCUCAUUUCUCACCUCGGUGGCUUGGAGCUUGCGGUUGAAGCUUUGUGGAGGAUCAAACUCCAACCCUACUUGGUUUAGAGCUUGGAUUGGAGCUUCUCUUGAGGUUGGUAGCUUGUAUUUUCCAUUUAAUACAAGUUUUUAUAGAUUUUACCAUAUGAAACCCUAGAUUUUGGGAUUUAGGGUUUAUUUUGGGGAUUUUUUAUUUGAGAGCUUUGAAACCUAAUUGAUGGGUUUAGAACCUUCAUUUAGGUUGGAUUUGAAGAAUUCUAACUCCCAUUUGGAGCUUGAGAGAGGAUUUCUUCACCUAGGUGAGUUUUCUCCACCUUAGCCUAUGUUGCUUAUUGUUUGAGCUUAGGGUUGAUCGUAAGAUUUGUUUGACCCUUGUUCCUACAUCUUUAGGGUGCUAGGAUUCUAGUCGACACCUUUGUCAGAGCUUACGAAGGGUUUCGGAAUUUUCGGUGCGUUUGACUUCAUGAAAACGGGGCGAAAUGGUCCCUAAGUAUUUUAUACUUGUCGUAACAUCAAUUUGAUUGCAUAUUCAUGUUAAAUGGGACUUAUGUGAAUUUUAGAAUACUUAAAAUGCAUGCCUUAUGUAUCAUAAAAUUUUACUCUAUAUAGUAGGGCCUUCUGGACAUUUUUGCAUGCAUAUAUCCUUAUCUCCAAAAAGUGCGGGGUGAUGUUGAGAGCGGGCGCACCGGUGAUUUCGGCGUAGGGUCUGAUGGUGCACCUUAUAGUGUACAUCCGAGCGGCACUAAAAUAUAUAAAGACUUAAAAGUGCAUUAUUGGUGACCGGGGAUAGAGAAGGAUGUUGGAGAAUUUGUGGCACAGUGUUUGACAUGCCAAUAAGUUAAAGCGAAGCGCCAAUUUUCGGCGGGAAAGCUUCAAAGUUUAUCCAUACCCGUUUGGAAGUGGGAAGAUAUAGCAAUGGACUUUGUGACCGGUUUACGCCGAUCUCAGGCCGGACAUGAUGCUAUUUGGGUGGUAGUGGAUCGUUUGACGAAAUCGGCUCAUUUCUUACCGAUCCAUAACACUUGGUCCGGAGACAAGCUGGCGCAGGUUUAUCUCGAUAGGGUUGUGAGACUGCAUGGGGUUCCGACGUCCAUAGUAUCGGAUCGAGACCCCCGGUUCACAUCCCACUUUUGGAAAAGUUUGCAAGAGGCGUUGGGCACACGGCUCGAUUUUAGCACGGCAUUUCAUCCUCAAAGUGAUGGUCAAUCGGAGAGAACGAUACAAAUCCUUAAGGACAUACUUGGAGAGUGUGUACUUGAUUACAAGGGUGGAUGGCACGAUUAUUUGCCGAUGGCGGAGUUCGCAUUUAAUAUUAACUAUCAAGAAAGUAAUGCGAUGGCGCCAUUAAUUCGAGGCUUUUUAUGGAAGGAAGUGUCGCUCCCCUAUUCAUUGGAGCGAGGUGGGUGAAAGAGUUACCCUUGGUUCGGAUGUGUUGCGGGAGGCAAAAGAGAAAGUUUGCUUUGCCCGCCAACGGCUUGCGACAGCACAAACCUAACAGCAAAGUUAUGCCAAUAAGUGUAAGAAAGUGAAUUCUCGAAAUCUGAGGAUUGUACUUCAUCCAGUAUCGACUAAUUGUCGAGAAAAUACCCUUUGUGGGAGUUAAGAAAGUCCACAACGCAAAAAGUGCUUUGGAGUUGAGUCCACGAGAGCGAAUGAUGCAAACUGCAUCAUGGGGCUGAUGUUGCUCUCGGGAACCGGUCUCUGGAGGUGAGAGACCGGUUCCCUUGGCUGGGUGUUGCGGGGUUGCUUGAUGCAACCGGUCCCUGGCAGAGAGGGACCGGUUCCCGAAUGUUGCCUCAGCGAGAAAUGCCAAAAACUAGCUAAGUCCUGAAAAUCAAGCUCUCGGGGACCGGUCUCUCAGGUAAGGACCGAUCUCCCGAGGACCGGUCUCCCGGGGAGAGACCGGUUCCCGAAUGCGUGCGCCCGAGGGAAGCUCUCGAGGCCGGUCCCAAGUCGGGGGGACCGGUCCCUCCGUGCGAAAACUGCCCAGUAAGGGCUGUGCAACGGAUGGAAAGUUGAGGGGUUUUUAUGCAAAAUGGCCUUUAUUAGAGUGGGCUGAGCCCUCUCUCUCCCUCACACUCUCUCAUUCUCUCUCUUUCUCACACUCUCUCUUGCUCCCUCUCUCUCUCUCUAGAAAAGAAAGAACAAAAGAGAAGGAGAAGAAGAAAGAGAAGAAGAAGAAUGAGGAGAACAAGAUAGAGAAGGCUUGGAGCAUCUUCCUCUCUUUCUCUCUUCUCCAUUGGUGUAGCUCAAGAGGUAAGCUACAAACCCUAGCUUGUAAAACUUGGGUUUUUGGGUUUUUAUGCUUUGGAAUGGGUCAAAUGAACCCUAAGCUAGCUUCUAAAUAGAUCAAUCCCAAGAAUCUGGGGUAAAUAUGGGGUGGUUUGCUAUAGGUGCAAACCUAGGGCUCCAAAUUGGGGCUUUUGUGAAAGUAUGAGAUUGAUCUCAUUUGAAGCCUUGGAAACCCUAUUGGUAGGUCACAAAACGUGGGGGCGAAGUCGGUUUUAGCCUUCGGCGAGCCGGCGUGAAGUUCUCGGCAAAAUAGGGCCGGGAUAGCUUGGAUUUGGGCGAGGAAGGCUAAAGCCUUUUCAUAAAAUUCGCCGAGGAGCGUUUCCGAAGCCUUUACAUCGAUAAAAGGUAGGGGGUGCCAUCCCGAAGCUUUCGGACUCCUUUCUAUGUCUUAGAUUGCAUUUGAUCUCAUCUCUUCAUGUUGCAUUGUAGGAUUGAAUAGUAGCUCCAUUCCUUAUGCUUUCUAAAUGAUAACCUAGUGUACUUGGAACGUUUGGUAACUUAGAUAGGUGAGGAUUGGGUCGGAACGUGGAUCCUAUGAUGCUAAAGAUAGAGAUGAACCCGAUGGGAGUGUUGAUGACAUAGAAAGUAGUGUUAUCGUCAAAGAACAAACGAGUGGCAUCCAAAUGUUAAAUGAUAACGAGUGGCAUUAAUGUAGUGUAUAUGACACUAGAGGUUUGAGAACCUAGGGAUAGGUGGAUCCCUAAGAAAAUGCCUUGUGGACAAGAACUUAGUAAACCUAAGUAGCCUAACAUGGAGAGGUUGUUGAUGAGUCGAUUAAGACAUUGACCCUAGUGAUAGGGCAUCCUCACUUGGAGAGGACCUGAUUGGGUAUGACUCUAGUUGAUAGCAUCCUCACUUGGAGAGGAUUGGAUUUGGUUUUUGACCCUAGUGAUAGUGUAUCCUCACUCGGAGAUGAUAGAUCUAGCUCACAGUCUGCGUUUGGGAUGGUAUAGCCAUCCAAUCCCCACAUGGAGGGGAUGGUCGUCGAGUACUCCGGAGUGUCGCGACUAGGACCACUUGGAGGUCCGGACCACAUGGAGGUCCGCAGACGGUCCCGGGCUUGGGUGCACUUGGAGCUCCCUCCCCACUUUGGGAUUGAAAGGUGAGUUAUGGGCGAGCCCUAGGGCCUCGCCGCAGAUUGGGUAAAUGAAAGGUUAAAGGUUUAAAAAUGUCAUUGAACGUUACUAUUCGAACAUGGAUCGAAUUUGUUAGCAUGGUAGCAAACCUUUAUUAUAUGAUGCAUGCAUUCAUAUUCAUGAUUAUGGGCAUAGUAGCAUAGUUUUUCCUACUAUCGCAUUUACUGCUUUCAGAUACAUAUCUAUCUAUCUAUCUGUUGUUACUUGUGCCCACUUGGACCUAGUGGGGAGAUCGGCAGAGUCGGUGGCCGAGCCCACUGGGAACUAUGGAAGAUAGUUCUCACCCCACUCUAUUUCUAGUAGUAGGUUCAGGGCUGCAGAGAGAGGACCGCGGCAAGGGCACCGCGCCCGACCAGUGAGACCGUGGUAGUUAGUAGCUUUCCUUUUUGCAUUAGUUCACCUAUGUAUUGAGAGAGAUCCAUUGUAGGUGAGGAUUUGGGAGAGCUAUGUAUUUUGGAUGAAAAAUGUAAUCAUUUAAAGAAAAUGAUGUAAAUAAGAAUGAUGAAACUAUUGUAAUAGUUAGUAAGGUACUCUCUUUAUUUCACAUGCUUUAUCUUGUGGAUUACUUGCUCUUUGUCUUGUCGGCACUGUUUGUGCCCUUAUGAAUGUGUAUGUUUAGAAUUUAAUUUCUUGGGUAAAUUCUUGUACACAUUCUUAUUGUUGAGCCUUGGGCGGACAGGGGAGGUGCUGUCCGUUUGGCGGUCCGCCGCCGCUGCCGAAUCGUGCCAAAUUGGUAGUGGUUUCGGGGUGGGGCGUGACAAUAAGUGUCGGAAAGAUCUUGAGUUCGUGGUUGGAGACCGCAUUUUCUUAAAGGUGUCACCCAUGCGUGGUGCGAAGGGGUUUGGGGUCCGGAGGAAGCUUAGUCCCCGAUACAUUGGACCAUAUGAGAUUUUGGAGCACAUGGGUGUGGUGGCGUAUAGAGUUGCCUUACCACCAAAGAUUGCGGGAAUUCACAAUAUGUUUCACGUGUCUCAUCUCCGCAAGUGUGCCCAUAAUUCCUCUCAUGUCUUAGAGUAUGAACCGGUAGAGUUGCGCGAGGAUAUGACCUAUGAGGAGUAUCCGGUGUGCAUUCUUGCUCGAGAGGCGAGGAAAUUACAGAAUCAUACAAUUCCGUAUGUCAAAGUUUAGCGGAGCAAUAAUACGGAGCGUGAAGUCACUUAGGAACUCGAGGAGGCAAUGCGAAAGACCUAUCCUUAUCUAUUCGAGUAGAUGAGCUAAGGUAUGGAAUCGAGUUUCGCGGACGAAACUUUUUUUAAGGGGUGGAGAAUGUAAUAUACCGAAACUUUAGUAGGUUGUACCGAACUUCAACAACUCUGAGAAUGCCAUGUUCACUAAUGCCAUUACACAUAAGUGUUCCAUUCUCAUUCACUAGCAUUCUUUAUGCUCACUAAUACCACAAGGUGCUAUUUUACUCACUUGUCACAAUGUCACCAUGUUCUUUACCACAACUAGGUGCAUAUCUGUAAGGAAGUAAAUUCUCGAAAUGCGAGAGUUUGACUUCAUUUAAAAUCGACCAAGGGUCGUGUUGGCAUGCUUCGGAAAGGACGAAAGCAUCAAAGAGGCAAAAAGUGCGUUAUAGUUGGUCUCGAGAGCAAAUGGUGCAAAUCUGCACAAAUUGCAGAUUUUGCUCUCGGGGACCGGUCCCUGGUGAGAGGGAUCGGUCCCCAUAAGCAGAGAGUGCGGCAGAGAGGCUCUGUGCGCUAAUGUUGCUCUCAGGGACCGGUCUCUGGCGGGAGGGACCGGUCCCCGUAUGCGUGAAGGGCUGACCUGAGAGCUCUGUGCGAGAGGCUGCUCUCGGGGACCGGUCCUCCGGUAGAGGGACCGGUCCCCACACCCGAAAACUGCCCAGUCUGGGCAGCGCAAGAGAAGCAAAAUGGAGGGGGCUAUUAGGAUAUUGUUACAAGUGAGAGGCUAAAAGAGGGAUUUCCUUCUCUUCUCUCUCACUCUCCCUCACACAUACAUACUUUCUCUCUCUAGAAGGAAAAGGAAGAAAAGAAGAAGAGGAAGGAGAAGAAGGAAAGGAAGGAAAAGAAGAAGAGGAGGACCACCAUCAUCUUCUCCAUCUCUUCCCUAGCUUGUAGAGGUAAGCUAUGAACCUCUCUCAUGGUAAAUGGCUUAGGGUUUGCCUUAACCUCUCGGAACUCAAUUAAUUGGACUCUAGUGGACCCCUAGAGGUAGUUGAUCUCCUUGAUUGCAAGAAUAAAUGCUUGAUUGAAGCUAUUGCAAUAUUGGGGAUUCUAGGGCAUCCAAAAGAGGGCUUUUGCUUGUGAGGGGUUUUGAUCUAAAUUGACCUCUCUCUAACCUAAUUGUUAGGUCUACGAACGCGUUCGUGCACUCGGUUUGACUAUUCGUUAAGGCUACGAAGAGAUAUUGGUGAAAAACUCGUUUUUGGCUUCAUUUUCGCCUGGAACGCCGAGGAAGCAUCUAGAAAUCACGAAAUCGGAACCCUAGCCUUUUGGUAGCAUAAGAAGGUGGGGGGUGUCCAUCCCGAAGCAACCGGGUUUCCUUUUAUGUCUAAGUUCUACAUAUUGACAUUAUGCAUUAUAUGAUUAGUAGAUAGUUGCAAUUCUAAUUCCUUGCAUGCUUUCUUAGUAGUGUAGCAUUGUAGGCUUGACACAUGGACUAGGGAUGCAUGAGGAUUGGUCUUGUGACAUGGAAUCCUAUAGUGGCAUAAAGAGAUGAAUUUGGACAUGUAAUAGCCUAGAAGAGUGGCAUUUGGGUUAGUGUAGUAGAAACACUAAACAUGAACGAGUGGCAUGUCAACUAGUAGAAAACCUUUACUACAAUGAUUGAACGAGUGGCAUCAAAUCUAGAGUAGUAAACAUAACAUGAUUCUAGGGAUAGUAGAGUUUCCGAGUAAUGAAUUAUGCAUUAUGAACUGUGCAGCAGAGGCGCACUAUGGCCCUUGUAGAUAGGGUAUCCUCUUGUGAGGAUUGGAUCAUACUCACUAGUCUGUUUUAAACUUGAGGUAGUCGCUCCACUCAAGUAGUGGUCUCCGGAGUACUUCACGACAGUGGCAGAUGUAGUUGUCCCGCAGACGGUCUCGGUAUGCGAGUGCAGAUUCUCCUCACCUAUGAGAUUUGAGAGUGAGUCGAGGGCGUAACCUUCGGGUUAGCCAAGCAGAUUGGACAAAGAACAUGAAUGAUAUAGAAGAUUUGCAUUCAUACUUGAGUAGACAUAGUGUAUGUUGGUAGAUUGCAUAACUGUGUUGCAUAUAUAUUGUACUAGUAUAAUAGUAGAAUUAUUGCAAAAUGGACAUUGCAUGCAUUGCUUAUCAUUGAAGGCAUGGUAGAAUAUAGUUGCAGUUUAUUUCUACCUAUCCAUCUAUCUAUUUAUCUUUGCUUGUUUAGACCUAGUGGAAAAAUCGGCGGAGUCAGCGGUCAAACCCACUGAGAACUAUAUUUAUAUAGUUCUCACCCCACUUUGUUGUAGGGCCGAGUACGAGUUCGCCGGGCGAGGACCGCGGCAAGGGCAUAGCGCCUUAGGUAGUUUGUAGCUUCCUAUCUGCAUUAGAGUACCCUCGUGUACUAGAUGAUGAUGAUAUAUAUUUGGAUAAAUAGUAUGGAGCUACUUACGCAUUUUGGAGGUGAACUUGUAUUACAUUUUGGGAGAUGGAAAUGUAAUUAAAAGAAUUAAUGUUGAAUGGUUGUAAUAGCUAGAAUAUCUCUCUUUAUUCACUUGUUGUACACUUGUGGUUCUUGCUCUUACUUGUUAGCACUUGUAGUGCUCUUGUUGAUCGUGUAUGUAAUGAAUUUCUUUUCUUGGGCAAAUUCUUGUACAUGAUUUCGUUGCUUAGCCUUGGGCGGACAGGGGAGGUGUUGUCCGUUCGGCGUCUGUUCGACGCGCCCGAACCGGACCAAAUUGGUAGCGGUUUCGGGGCGUGACAAUAUCUCAAUUCAUACAUAUAUAGGGUUCACAAGCAUAUAGGUUCAUAAGCAUAAUAUACAUGUCUCAUAACCAACUCAUAUACAUCUUUAUACUCAAAAGCAUGCAAGAUAUAUCACCAUAUUGCCAUUUAGCCAUUUAAACCCCACAAUGCAUGAAUCCUACGUAUACAUACAUGCUCAAAAGGUGACAUUUAGACAUAAAAAGAGAUUCGAUGAUUUCGAAUAGCACCACCCACCUCGUAGGGUCGCUAAGGUGCUAGGAUCCAAAUCUGGUGAUUUAUAAGCGCCUAUUCCCCUCGACCAUGGCAAACAAAGCUGAAAUGGGGUUUUUCCUCGAUUUCCUUGCAUAGACUCGUCGGAACUUCGAUCCGAGUCUCCCAACGCGUCAGCUUACUCGCCAAUUAGGGCUACAAGAGAUCAAACCCUAGUUAGAUCUCAUAUCUACCAAAACCCUAAUUUGACCCCUAGGGUUUCCAACAAUCCACAUAAACCUAUUAAUUCAUGGAGAUUUACACAUGAAUCUACCAUACAAGCUUCUAGAUACCAUAACUAGAAGAAAUUAGCAUAAACCCUAGCUUAAUACAACAAGAACUCACCUUGAGCUCAACUCUUCUCUUCAAAACUUUGCAUAAGAGCUUGCACAAGAGCUUGCUUCUCCCCCAAGCUAGCCUUCUUCUCCACCAAACCCUCUCACACACCCUAGAGAGAGAAAGAGAAAGAGAGAGAGAGGAAACUUAGAGAGAGAAAGAGAAAGCUUUUCUCUUUGUUCACAAAAGAGAAAUGAAGAGGUGGAAGGGUGUAGAACCUUCAAAUAGCAUCUCUCUGCAACAAUUGCAUAUAGGCCCCUCUCCAAUUCAUUGUACAGGACUUACCCACGAAAUUGCGGGUACGGGGUCCGGACCCUACACAGUGUCCAGACCCUAAGAGCAAUUUCAGCUUGUUUCAAGCUGAAAAUUCCCAGCUUGCUCUCCAAGGUCCAAACCACUCACAAUACACUCCGACACGCUCGAAAUGAUCAACGGACCUCUCUAACUUGUCCCACUCCGCACUUCGGUCAAUUUGUCUAAAGUUCAGAACAACCUACCGAAGUUUCGGUAUAUUACAACAUAUGACAACUUUUGGUUGUGCUGUAAAUGUAUAAGUGAUGUAUAAAUGCCAUAUGCUGGAGGAUAUGAAAUGUAUAUCAUGUGAUGUAUAAAUAAAAAAAAGAAUGAAUGUAAAUUCUAUUAUGCUUGUAUAUGGUUAAAAGUAAUCAUGAUACUUGUAUGUAGUAGUUGUAGAACUUUCGCUUUUGAUGUUGUUUGCCCUCGUGCAAGUCAUGUAUAUGUAUGUUUUCGCUGUGUAAAAUUUAUAUACAUGUUGAUAUUGUGUUGAGCCUUGGGCGGACAGGGGAGGUGUUGUCCAUUCGACGUCUGUUGACAUGCACGAACCGACCAAAUAGACGGGCUCGGGGCGUGACAUUGGGUCAUCAGAUGCAGACAGUCACCGUCUCCUGCUGGAUCAUAUUCAACAUCAAGCCAAUGGGUGUCACGAUCUCCAUCUCCUACUGAUGCUGGAGUUAUGUUCGCCGCCCCUUCGACAUUUCCUUUUUUGAUGUUUGACUCGCUUCCGCCACUAAUUUCUCGAGUGUACUUUAGAUCUGUCUAUUCUCAUCGUCAUGGCGCGUCAUCAUCGCAGCCCGGCCCAGCAUCUACACCGGCCAUUGUCGAGGGUGAUUGACCUGAGCCAACGGAGACUCAGGCUGUAAGGAAGUGAAUUCUCGAAAUACGAGAGUUAGACUUCAUUUAAAAUCGACCAAGGGUCGUGUUUGUAUGCUUCAGAAAGGCCGAAAGCGUCAAAGAGGCACAAAGUACAUUAUAGUUGGUCUCGAGAGCAAGUGGUGCAAAUCUGCACAAAUUGCAGAUUUUGCUCUCGGGGACCUGUACCUGGCGGGAGGGACCGGUCCCUGUACGCGUAGAGGUGGGCAGACUGCUGUCUGCCAGAAGUUUUGCUCUCGGGAACCGGUCCCUGGCGGGAGAGACCGGUCCCCUUACGCAUGAAGGGCUGGCCUGAGGGUUCUGUGCGAAAGGCUGCUCUCGGGGACCGAUCCUUCCCUAGAGGGACCGGUCCCCGCACCCGAAAUCUGCCCAGUCUGGGCAGCGCAAAAGAGGCAAAGUGGAGGGGUGUUUUUUGCAAUUAGGCAAUGAGAGGGGUUAAGUGGGCAUUUCCUCUCUCUCUUUCUCUUAUUUCCCUCCAACACACACUCACACACUCUCUCUCUCUCUAGAAGGAAAAGAAGGAGAAGAAGAAGGAGAAGAAGAAGGAGAAGAAGAAGGAGAAGAAGAAGAAGGAAAAGAAGGAGAAGAAGAUCAAGAAGAGGACCACCAUUGUCAUCUUCUUCUUCUUUUGCUUGGGACAAAAGCUUGGUAGAGAUAAGCUUUUGGCUCUCCCAUGGUAGAAUGCUAAGGAUGAGUUUAUAAACCCUAGAAAUGGAAUUUAUUGAGUCUCUAGAAGUAGUUGCUCUCAUUUAUCACAUGAGUAAAUGCUUGUUCAAUGCAUUUUGCAACUAUGUGGAUUCUAGGGCAUCCAAAAGAGGGUUUUUGCUUGUGAGGGAUUUUGAUCUAAAUUGACCUCUCUCUAACCUAAUUGUUAGGUCUACGAACGCGUUCAUGCGCUCGGUUUGACGAUCCGUCGAGGCUACGAAGAGAUAUUGGUGAAAAACCCAUUUUUGGCUUCGUUUUCGCAUGGAACUUCGAGGAAGCUUCCAAAAAUCAUGAAAUCGGAACCCUAGCCUUUUGGUAGCAUAAGAAGGUGGGGGGUGUCCAUCCCGAAGCAAUCGGAUUCCCUUUUAUGUCUAAGUUCCAUAUGUUGAUCAUAUUCAUAUAUUGAUAUUAUGCAUUAUAGGAUUAAGAGAUAGUUGCAAUUCUAAUUCCUUGCAUGCUUUCUUAGUAGUGUAGCAUUGUAGACUUGACACAUGGACUAGGGAUGCAUGAGGAUUGGGUCUUGUGAUAUGGAAUCCUAUAGUGGCAUAAAGAAAUGAACUUGGACAUGUAAUAGUCUAGCAGAGUGGCAUUUGGAUUAGUGUAAUAGAAACACUAAACAUGAAUGAGUGGCAUGUCAACUAGUAGAAAACAUUUACUACGAUGAUUGAACAAGUGGCAUCAAAUCUAGAGUAGUAAACAUGACACGAUUCUAGGGAUAGUGGAGUUCCCGAGUAAUGAAUUGUGCAUUAUGAACUAUGCAGCAGAGGCACUGUGACCUUUGUAGAUAGGGUAUCCUCUUGUGAGGAUUGGAUCAUACUCACUGGUCUAUUUACACUUGGUGUGGUCAUUCCGCUCAAGUAGUGGUCUCCGAAGUACUUCACGAUAGGGGCAGACAUAGUUGUCCCGCAGACGGUCUCGGUGUGCGAGUGCAGAUUCUCCUCACCUAUUAGAUUUGAGAGUGAGACGAGGGCGUAACCUUCGGGUUAGCCAAGCAGACUGGGCAAAGAACAUGAAUGGCAUAGUAGAUUUGCAUUCAUACUUGAGUGGAUAUAUUGUAUGUUAGUAGAUUGCAUAACUAUGUUGCAUAUAUACUCAUAACAUUAUACUUGCAUGAUAGUAAAAUUAUUGCAAAAUGGACAUUGCAUGCAUUGCUUAUUAUUGAAGGCAUGGUAGAAUAUAGUUACAGUUUAUUUCUACCUAUCUAUCUAUCUAUCUAUCUGUGCCUGCUUAGACGUAGUGGAAAAAUCGGCGGAGUCGGCGGCCGAACCCACUGGGAACUAUAUUUAUAUAGUUCUCACCCCACUUUGUUGCAGGGCCGAGUAUGAGUUCGCUGGGCAAGGACCGCGGCAAAGGCAUAGCGCCCUAGGUAGUUAGUAGCUUCCUAUAUGUAUUUAGAGUACCCUCGUGUACUAGACGAUGAUGAUGUAUAUUUGGAUAGAUGAUAGAGAGCUAUUUAUAUAUUUUGGAGGUGAACUUGUAUUACAUUUUGGGAGAUGAAAAUAUAAUUAAAAGAAUUAAUGUUGAAUGGUUGUAAUAGCUAGAAUAUCUCUCUUUAUUCACUUGUUGUACACUGGUGGUUCUUGUUCUUACUUGUUAGCACUUGUGGUGCUCUUGUUGAUCGUGUAUGUAAUGAAUUUUUAUUUUCUGGGCAAAUUCUUGUACAUGAUCUUGUUGCUUAGCCUUGGGCGGACAUGGGAGGUGCUGUCCGUUCGGCGUCUGUUCGACGCGCCCGAACCGGACAAAAUUGGUAGCGGUCUCAGGGCAUGACACAGGCAAUUUUGGAGCAUCCUGAGGGCAUCAUCAUCGCGGAUCUCAAUCGGAUGGCCGGUAUCGAGCCACUUGAUGAUGUAUCUCCUACUAAGCUUGAUGUUGAUCAUGGCCGUAGCGUAGAUGUGGGCAUGCAUGAGGACGUGACCGAGAAUGUCGAGGGAGAGGAAGAUUGAGAGACCGUCUUUUUUUUUUUAUUUAAAUCGAACACAUUGUAUAAUAUUAUAUACCUAUUUAUUUAGUUCAUAUUUGUAUGUCUUUUUAUGUUUUUAUUGAUAUUCACCGCCUUUAGUGCAAAACUCAGAACCCCACAAAAAUUUGACUUAGUCCUGGCUGAAACAUAAAUAAGACGGUGAAUUUGAUUCACCGUCUUUAUAAGACGGUGAAUGAUUCACUGUUUUAUCUGUGUUUCAACACCAACUACAGGACUUAGAAAAAUUUUUAGUAAUUUUGGCGGGAUUCGCAGGUUUUGCACUAAAGGCGGUGAAUCGUUCGCUGCCUUAUAAAGACCGUGAACGAUUCGCCAUCUUAUCAAGGGCACAACAAUAGUUGAAAGACGGACUUGAAAGGCAGAUUUGCGUUGAGGCGUGGGAUUUGCAAGGCGAAUUUGCGUUGAGGCGUGAGAUUUGCACUAAAGACGGUGAAUGGUUCACCGCCGUCACAAGGAAUAUUAUGAAGACGGUGAACCAUUCACCGCCUUCAUAGGAAACUACUGACGUGACGCCCACGUAGCGAAAGUAGGGUUAAUUUUUCAAAUAAAAUUUUGACAGGUCAUUUUGCAAAUUUUAAAUUUUUGGAGGGCCAUUUUAUAAAAAAGUCCUCAAAUUCCGCUCGCUUCGUCUUCUCUCCGCUGUUUUUUGCGCGCAAGGCGAGAGCGGGGCUAUGGCGGAUAGGCGGCGCGAAAAACAGAAGCAUCGUGACCGAGAUCGAGAGCGGGAGCGGGACCGAGAUCGAGAGCGGGAGCGCGACCGAGACCGAGAUCGAGACCGGGAACGCAACAGGGACCGCGACCGAGAUCGAGAGCGCGAGAGAGACCGGAAGCGGUCCCGCUCCCCGUCCCGCUCCCCCUCCGGCUCGGGCUCCCGCUCCCGCUCCCGCUCCGCCGACCGCUCUAGCCGCCGCCACGGUCAUAACCACCACCAACACCACCACCAAAAUCGCCGGCGCUCCCCCUCCCCCGAGUCCCACCGCCGCAAGCGCCGCCGCGAGGGCAGCAAUGACCUCCCCCCCGCUGCCUCGGCCGAGCUUGCAGACGGCGUUCCCAAGAACCAUAAGAAGCAAGGAGGUGGCAGCGGCGGCCCGGCGGACGGCGAGGCUGCAGCUGUCCCAACGGACGCCAACACAGAGGAACUGGAGAUGAUGAAGCAGUUUGGGAUUCCGUUAGGGUUCGAUUCCACCAAGGGGAAGCCCGUGCCAGGGGCCGAUGUUAGCGGCGUGAGGGUGGUGACAAAGCGGCAGCCGAGACAAUAUAUGAAUCGCAGAGGAGGCUUUAAUCGGCCCCUUCCUCCGGAACGCAACCGUUAGCACCCUGUCUCAGUUCCAAAGGUUAGGGUUUUCAUGAUUCCCUAUGUUCGACUUCUUUUUUCCUUUUUCUUUUUUGUUUUCUUUUCCUUUUUCCUUGUUAUAUAUCCUUUGUAGUAGUUUUGCCCAUUUUCAUAAACUUCCAAAAUUAAUGCCUCUUGAUAUCUAAUUUUCACACCUUGAUGAGGAUGAAUCCGAGGGUGGCAUAAGAUUCUAGCUUUUGUAGAUAGGGGUGAAAAUGGAUCAGAUACAGUCGGAUAUUAGACGAAACCAUAUUUGCAUCUAUGUUUUCUUUCGAAUAUGAAUUUGGAUGUGGAUAAUAAUUGGAUGCUAAAUUUUUGUUACCAUAUCCGUUAAGAACGGAUUCGGAUAUGAUUAGAUAUUUCUUCGGAUUUGAAUAUGGAUCGAAUUUGUAUUCAUAUAUUAUUUGGAUAAUAAUACAUACUUACAUUUUUGUGAUGGCUCCUUUUAAUUUCAAAAUACCAGUCUAUAAUUUUGUAGUAUCUUCAACAAAUUUAGGGUCAAAUCGAGCUGGAAAGACUAUCCAUAAAGAGGCAAACUUUGUGCUUAACUUUCUAGAUUUGGAAGUUGCUUAGAUUGAAUUUGGUUCUUCUUAGCAAGCGUAAGUUUGUUGCCCAACAAAAGAAGUUGUCGGCUGUGUAGAUUGUCUUCCAUAUUCUUUAUGUUGACACUUGCAAAAAGUUAUGGAAGAUAAAUAUUUUUCUUUUGAUUAGCUUGACUUGUAAUGAAUUAGGGGCAUCUUUGGUUGAUGAUUGGAAUGAGAAUAAGAAAUGAAAUUGGAUUUCAUUGGAAUGAGAAAUAGAAUGCGGAAUCAUCCAAACAUGGUUGGUAUAUUAUUGGAAUGAAAAUCGGGAUGGACAAUUGGACACCUAAGAUUUGAGAGAGGCUUUUGAUUACGGGAGAGGAGAAUGUUUCUUUUUUUACUAUUUAAGCUGCAAAAGAGUGAAAUCAACGAAUAAGCAUAUUAAAUUUAUGCCGCAACAUAAGAAAAUAAAUCAUAGUUCAAGUUUAGCGGCUUAUGCAUUCGAGACCAAACAAACACACUCUAAUUCACUCUAAUUUCAUUCACAACAAGAUGCAUUACAAGAGAAAAUAAGAGUUCGAUCAAAAAAUUGUUGCAAGUUUGGCGUAAAAGAUCCAUACGAUCUCCACCACUCAGCUAUUGAUAUAGAAUAGAGUGAGUCAAUAGUUAAAUUUUGCUUUCAAUAAUUGAGUCCUGCUAUGGUGCUUUUAAAAUCACCAAACACUUGGUAUUUGUAAGUUUUCUGCCGUUAGAUCUACCCAUUUGACCAUUUUCACCCGUUAGAUUUUACUAUUUAACCACCCACCCACUCAACCCUAGGGGAUCACUAUCAUCCUAAUCGCACAUCACUUAAUCCAAGGGCCGAAAACCUACAAGCACCAAUGACUUGGUACUUUUAAGAGCAUAGAAUCUCAAUUCUCUAUAAUUGUAUCACAAUUUAGAAAUUUAGAAUUAAGAAAACUAAUAGUAUACAAGUAAUAGUAUAUGUGGUGACUUUGUAUUUCUAUGUCGGAUUGCUUAGUCAUGUCCAAAAAGGUCGCAUGCUCUACAACACGCUUAGUUGGUCUUUUAUUUUAUCUUAUUUCUCAAUUCUUGGAACCAAUCACUAUAGAGUCUUGUAUAGCCCCGACAUAACUUUGUCAUCUUGCUCGAUACUUGGAUUCGAGCAAAAAUAUGUGAGAUUCAAAUAAAAACCAGCAGCAUGCAUUGGGUGGAGUUGACAUUCCCACCUAUCAGCUAUGUUGAAAAUUUCAAUAUCUUUUUCUUCCUUCUCAUUGGAUGAUCUUGCAAUGGCUUCCUUUGCUUUAUCCAUGACCUUUUAGAUGUAUUUCAUUGAAGAUCGCUUCUCGCAAUCAGCUAAUUGUAAAACACGAACAAGUGGACCAAACACUUUAGAGUAUAUAUUAUAUUAGUCCAAAAUGUGCGGAUCAUUACUAUGCUAGUAAUUCUUGUCCGAUUGUUGCUUCGCUUAUUUACUCUUGGUCCAAUCUUCAGAUGUAAACAUCUUCCUCAAGUUAUCUUUUUGAUGGUGUGAUCGUUGAAGGUUGAGAAAAGAAGUGGCAAAUGUUGUUAUGCCGACCUAAGCAACUCCUUUUGGCCCGUGAAAUGUCUCAUCAUAUUCACCACACUUGUGUUGUUAUGAAUAUAGAGCUAUUCAAAGUCAUUGCUCUUUGUAUGGUUCUAUGCGCUACUGGCAUCUUUCCGAUAUCCUCAGGCAUUAAACCAAUGCAAUGGGCAACACAUGAAGUCCAACACAAAUUUGGUCUCUUGACUUCUAACAAUUUCCUUAAGGAAAAUUGGAAUAAAGAGAGAUUAUAGCUAUUAGUUAUAUGACUAUUAGGCAUAAUAUCUAAUAUACUCUCAAAACUUCAAAAAUAUCUAAUAUACCCUUGGUUGACCAAAAUGCCCUUAUUGAUUUCCAAAAAUCCCUUCAAAUGUCCACAAACUCUGAGGGUUACUAAUGGAAAUUGGGUUUAGAAGGGUAUUUUGGUAAUUUCAAGAUAAAUUUGAAAAUUUUGAAUAGUAAGGGGUAAAUAAGCAAAAGCCCCUAAAUAUGAAAUACGAAGCAUAAAAAAUUAGUAGUUAAAAACUGUGGGAGAUCGAAAUCUUACCAAUUGCUACAUUAGCUGAUUCGAUCAGUAAUAACUUGCACAAUAAUUGCUUCCCCAACGGGCUCUUUCAUUGUACAAUAAUUCAAACAUUCUUUCCCUAUUUUAAUGUAAUUAGGAGCAUCAAAAGAUCCAAGAAAUAUUGUGCCUAUUGGAGAGUUCACUAGAAUAUUUAUCAAGGGUCUUUCUCUUCUAUCCUUCCACGCAUCUGACAUUAAAGAGCAACCAGUUCUCGCCCAUUCCGCCUCAUAAGACUUCAAAAUAUUUCUUGUCCUCUUAACCUCCUUCAAAAAUAAAAAUUCGUAACUUACAUGCGAACGGUGGUUUUAUGGCGCAACCAUAUUGCCCAAUGGACUCAAUUGCUACUCGAAGACUAUCAUAAUUAAUGGCAUUACAAGGUAUCUCGGCAUCAUAAAUCUAUCGGGCAAAGUCUCUAGAAGCUUUCUCUAUCAACUCCUUUUUACACGCAUUAUUUAUUGUGGCUUGCUUCAGCUUCCCAUCCUUUCUUUCUUGAACCAUCUUCUCCUCAUUACAAGUGAAAUACCGAAAUGGCACAAAUGGUUAACCUUGGCUAAGUGGUGGUAUAAUACUAACCACCACACCUCCCUAGGGAUGACCCUAUUUCAGGCUUCGUAUGGGUACCCUCUGCCCACAUACGCAGUAACCAAUCUAAGCAUACAUAUGGCCUUUGGUGGAGGAAUGGAGUCGGGAAAGGGACAAGGUGAUAAAAAUCCUAAGGGAAAGGCUUAGCACAGAACAUGAUGAAACAAAAUGCUGAUAGGAGGGUGGACAAGGAGUACUAGGAGGGCGAAAUGGUUUACCUGGAGCUUCAGCCCUACCAAUAGAGCAGUGUCGCACUGCGGCGUAAUGUCAAACUUACCUCGAAGAACUACGGGCCCUUUAGAAUCUUGGCACGAAUAGGUCCGGUAGCUUACAGGCUGCAGCUUCCUGAAGGAUCAAAGAUCCAUCCCGUGUUCCACAUUUCACUAAAGCGGAGGAUCCCGUCCUCCUCCCAGAUGUCACCUACUGUACCGCUAAUAGGCAACGAGGGCUAGCUUUUAGCAUGACCAGAGAAGAUACUGGAUCGUCGGAUAGUGCGGAGGGGGAACAUGGAGACAACUCAGGCUCUCAUCAAGUGUAGCAACCUGGACGAGGCGGAGGCCACAUGGGAGGACUACUGGAGCAUCAAGGCUGUUCCCCGAUUUCGACCCUUGAGGACAAGGGUCGUCUUAAGGGGGAGGGAGCUGUAACACCCCGAUGUGAUCAAGACAGGCAGAGCGACCAGAGAGGUGAAGGAGGAAGAAGAGCGACCAGAGAUGGGGAAGAAAAGGGCAAAAUCCAACAUAAUCUAGCAUCAACCAAGGGCCAGUGGAGUAAAUAAAUAUCAGCUUAACGGGUUGGGCAAUAUAUAGGAGUGGAGUGGACACCAUGCGGGUUGGAUCCAUCUGCCAGAAGAAAACAAGUGUGGUAUGGGGGCGAUUGGUGAAGUUCCUAUAUUGCUUCGGAGGCUCUGGAAUGGUUAGAAGUGAGUUUUGGGAGUGUUCAAGUGUUUUCGGCGCAAAUUGGGCGCGAAAAUGGACUUCGAGGUGUUUAGUCUGCUGGAACUGCAGGUUUUGUGUUGAGUACCGGAAUUAGGAUGAGUUCCGGUACGCAAUACAAGUGCAGAAAAACCAGCUCUCGGGUUUUGCGGAAUUGAGCCUGGGGUACCGGUACUAGAGGCCAUGUACUGGUACUAGAGGCUGCAUGCCGGAACCCAAUAGAUGACCUAAAAAUCCAAUGUUCAGGUUCAAGAACCAAGUUGUGGGUACUGGUAUUGGGGGGCUCGUGUUCCGGUAUGCCAGUUCGAGUAUCGGUACUUAGCUCUGCGAAGUGCAAAAUCUGAACUGUUGCAAAUGUUAAAGGAUGGAGGGCUUGUUUGCAAUUAUGAGAACCUAUAAAUAGGCCCCAAUGCAUUCUCACCCUUUUGCAUGAGAAACCCUUUUCAUUUUCUCAUUUUCCCUCAACUUUUCUCUUUCUCUCUCUAGAAUCUCUCCAACAAAAGCACAUUGGAGGAGAUUUAAGGCGUUUGGAGCUUUUAGGGAGAGGAAGCUCAAGAACAAGUGGGAGCUUGAGGUGCAAAAGUGGUCAAGGUGAGUCUUUGUGAAAAUAUGAGUUAGGGUUUGAAUUAGCUCUCUUAUAAAUGGUAUUUUUGGAGUCCUUAAGAGAUGUUAAACUAGAUUAAUCCAUGAAUCCCCAAGAAAAUUGGGUGUUUGUUGAGGGUGUAAACCCUAGGGCCAAAAUUAGGGUUUUAUGGAAAAUGAGGUCUAUGGUGAAAUUGAUCUCUUACUUUCUUAAUUGAAGGGUAAAUUGACGCGUUGAGCAACUUAGAUUGGAGUUUCUACGAGCCUACAGUGUUCUAUUGGGAAAAUUUGCCAUUUUGCUUUCGUUAGUGUUGGGUCAAGCUAAAUCGGCGACGAUAAAUUGCGGGACUUGGGUUCUCGCAUCUUGGCAUCGACUCGAGGUGGGUGGUGCGAUCCGAAAUGGUUGAAUUUCUCUUUAUGUUUAAGUCACCAUAUUGAUCAUGUAUGUGCAUGUGUAGAGAUCAUGCAUAGUAGGGUUAUAUGGUAUUAUGUUGUGAAUUUCUUGCAUGUUCCUAAAGUAAAGUUAAUAACUUGAAUCGAGAAUUGAACAUUGGAUACGUGAGAACCCUAUAGAUGCAUGAACCAAAAUGUGAACCUAGACGAUAUAGUACACUGGUGACAUUUAUAACUAAAUGAGUUAUUUAGCACCUUGUAGCAUUGAAUGCUAGGGAAUGGUACAUCCCGAGUAGUAUGACCUUAGUUAGCAUGAUAUCCUCAAAGUUAGAGGAUUGGAUCAUCCUCACAUAUAGUCUCAUUAGCUUGAUGGUGGUCGUGCCACCUCAAGCAGUGAGCUUCGGAGUUGUCACAUCUAGGCGAUAGCGGAAUUCUCCCCAGCAGACGGUCUUAGCGGGUUGUAGCGGAAUUCUCCCCGACUAAAGGGAUUUGGUUUGGUGAGUUGGGCUUAACCUAUGGGUUGGCCGAGAUGAUUGGGUUAUGGCAUAGACAUGACAUGCAUCAUGAGCAUAGUAGGUUGUUUAUUUACAAUUUCAUGUUACAGGCAUAGUAAAUGCAUUAGUUAUGAAUUAUAUUUCCUUUCCUUACUACUUAUGCCCGAUUAGACCUAGUGGGAAAGUCGGCGGGGUCGGCGGCCGAAUCUACUGGGAACUUCUUUUAGUUCUCACCCUACUGUUUUGCAGAUCCUAGCACUAGCGGAGCGGUCGAGGAUCGUGGCAAGGGCAUAGUGCCCUAGGUAGAGGACCUCCAUGCUUUAGUUCUACCCUAUGUUGCUACCUUGUAAAUGAUGAGAGAACUUGUAGAGGUCAUAUUUUGAGAGAUGAAAAAUGUAUGUAAUGACAAUUGGAGAAAGUUGUAUUUUGGUUAAUGUAAUUAAAGGUUGGUUGUUUGGUUGUAAUGGCUAGUUAUUAUUCUCACUCGCUUUUGUAUUUUUGCCCUCGUGCAAAUCAUGUAUAUUGUUGUUUUGCCGGGCAAACUCUUUAUACAUGUUGUUUGUUGAGCCUUGGGCGGACAGGGAAGGCUCUGUCCGUUCGGCGGUCUGUGCGCGCGCCUGAACUGACCAAAUGGGUGGUCCCGAGGCGUGACAUCGUCAUCAGCGAGUUGCGACGGGUCUGGGAUAUUACAAAAAGCUGUAAGGAAUCAAUUGCACUAUGAUACUAUGGUAACCACGGAUUGAAGUGCCGGCCCGAGCCCUUCGCUUCCACCACAGGCAUCCACUUUUUUCCACAUUGUUUUUCCCAAAUUUGUUGCACUGUGAAGCUUUCAGCGAAUCAAGGGAAUAAUAUCGAACUUGAUAACCAAAUUUCAAGGCAUAUCUAGCAUAAAAUUCUAUUUUUUGAAUUAGAAGGUUGAAAAUAUUGAUAAAAUUAACUAAAUUAAAUCAAUUGAUACUUAAAUUUAUUUAAUUUAUUUGUCAUAUAAUUUAUUGCUAAAUUUUAUGGGUAGAUCUAACAAAUUUUUAUGAUCCACUGCAAUGAUCUAUAUAGAAUUAAGUAGUCAUCUUUCUGUAAAGAUGUAAAUUUAUAUAAUUAUUGUACUUGUGAAUUUUAUUAUUAUAUUUUAAUUUCUAUUCUCUAUANUCUGUAAAGAUGUAAAUUUAUAUAAUUAUUGUACUUGUGAAUUUUAUUAUUAUAUUUUAAUUUCUAUUCUCUAUAAGGUAUAGUUGUACUAUACAUAUAAAAAAGCUUAUCAUUAUGUUAAUUGGUGAGUGUAGUAAGUUAUAUAUAACCAAUAUUCGUAAUUAUUUGACUAAACCUUUCAAAAUAAUAUUAUAAGAGCUUAUUGGGACAAAAGAAAUUAAAAUAAGUCCAUGCCAAAGCGUACCAUUAGGAGGUCGUGCGUAUUCAUCGGCACGCAAGCGUGCCACGUGUUGGCACAGAAGCGUACUUGUUUUGUACCGUACUAGGCAAACAAUGGCAUGCCCCUGUGCCACGACACUUUAAUCCUUGACGAUAACCAUAAGCAAGGAGAAUUCAUCAUAAUACAACAAUGAUAAUAACGAAGUAUAUACUUAUGCAUUUAUGCCUCUUAAGUACUCCAACUAUUCAAUGGUAUCCAAUCUAACCAUCUGUUGGUCGCAGGGAUCCGACCUAAGCUUGCCAACAAAGCAUUGCCGAGAAUUCACUGCCACGGUUACCUCGUUGUGUACAAGGCCGCGUUGGCCAUCACCGCUUCUUGCCACGCAAGCGUGUGAUUGUCAUGUUCGCUAUAUAACGACUACCCACUUUGGAGGGACUUUGGGAACACGACCACCAAAAGUGUCUAUCUCAAUACCAUUGUGCCGCAAGCUAUAGUCAUAUACAAUGCUUAGGGUUAGUGGCAGAUCCAAUAAAUAUAUCAAUCUCGACGCCCUCUAUAGGCAAAUAUGUCAAUCACAAAAGGGUAUGCAUCAAUGCCCCUACAAGGUGAUAUCAAAUCAUGAUGCCCCUACAAGGCAAGGUCUGCUACUACACGAUACAUAUCCACAUACGAAGAUCCCAACUAGCAUGCCCCUAAUGUCAAUCAUAAGUGCCUCUACAACGCGAGUUGAAAUCUUGAGUUCUUCAAUGAUGGUUUCCUCUAUAAGGCUGAGUUCUAAUCUUGUAUGUCAAGUACCUCUACCAGGCGAUCAAGUAUAAUAUAAAAAUCAUGAACUGUAGAUAUCACUAGGUGUAAUGUCAACGCUAGUCAUGCUAGUUAACAACUGAAUUCAACAUCUAUCCUAUCCUCAUGCAAGCAUAUAUUAAGGGCAUCACGACCAUAUCAAGGGUGAAGAAAAGAGAAGGAUAGAAACAGUGGAACUAAAUGGUGGAGCAGGACCAUUCUGGACUGAGUACCUAGCUUGAACCAUAACUAGACGUCUACCACGCAUCUUUGGCUCAACCUUCACUUGGUCCUAAGGAGAAAUACAAAAACAUCAUAAACUCCUCUAGGGUUCCAGAACUCAACAUACUACUAGAUAUAUCCAACCAAGAGGCCUCAAGGCUUCAAAGCUUGAACUCUAGCUCAGACACACUAAAUACACAUUUGCCACACAUGUCUUGGGGUUUCCCAAUAUAAUCAAAACUCCACCAAUUUGGGGAUUCUCCAUCUUUUCUUAAGAAAAUUUUAGAUUUUUCCACAUGAUGCUAACACUACGUCUUCAACACAAAGGAACCCCAAAUCAACUCCGAAAUUCUCACAACAUGAAAUCAACAAGGUCGAUCCCAAGAAUUUAGGAGUUCAAGAGCAACUCACCUAGAUUCACAAGCUUUUCCCUUUCCUCCAAGAAAACCUCGCCUGUGUUGAGGUCGUCUUUUACUUCUCUCGAAGCUCCUACUCUCACCUACGCGUACUGAGGAGCAAGAAUUUGGCCUCCGUUUCCUUCAAAGCUAGAAGGAGAGGGAGCAAUGGAGUAGAGCGUGAGAGGGGGUUGGAGAGGGAAGAGAGCAAGAGAGCGAAGAGGAGAGGAGAUUACGGCUUCUUCUCUUAUGAGAUUUAUAUAAAGAGUGGUUGUAACAAUUGCAACUUAACCCAAGAGUUGCAACAUUUUGCAUGAAAGAGCCCUUUCCUAUACAUAGCUUCCCGCAGAGGAGAAUCCGCACUUGCCCCAGGAAAUUCGGAUCUCGAAGGUUCUCUAGACUAUUUUGCAGCCGAAGUUUGAAUCCCUCAAGGUCUAGACUUUGACGCCUCAAGGUCAGGACUUUCCAUCCAAAGUUCGGAUACUGAAUGUUUUCUUGCACGAAAACUGCUCAUGGUCCAGACUUCCUCUGCAAGGUUCAGAUUCUUAAGUUUUAGAAACAUAAAGGUUUGGACUUCCCAAUCAACGUUCAGAGUCGGACUCUGAAGUUUCAAUUUUCAGAAACUUCGUUUUUGAUCCUUUUUCAUCCAAACUUCGCCUUAGGCUACACAUCUAAAUUGUGUUUGCGUGGGUUUCAUCUGUACUUUAUCCUAUUUGAAAAAGUUUAGUAUAUUACACUGAAGUUCAGUAUAUAACAUAAAUUCUUGUAGUUAUUCCAAUUGAUGUUGUUGGCGCUUCUAAUCCAACCUAUAUAAGAGUUUUCAACCCAUCAUUCCAAUUAAAAACCAUCAAAUUGUAAAAUCUCAAUUUAAACCCUAAUUUUUCAUAUACUACCAAAAUCCCAAGGAUACCUAAAAAUCUCUAAAUUAGAGGCUCAAAUCAAGUGGACUUAUCUCUAAAACGAGAUUAAUCCACGUUCUAGAUGACGAGAUUGAAGAUUGGAAGCUCCAAGCUACUCUUCUUCAUAAUCCUAACUUCAUCUCCAAGUUGCGAGGGGUUGAAGCUCGUAGAAGAAAGAAAUAGGGAAGAAGAAGAUUAAUCAAAAAAAUGUGAGAAGUAAGGAAGAAGAAGAUAGAGAUGGUGGAGGAGGUAUUUUGCAAAAAUUUUCUUGUGAAGGAGAGAAUAAGGAAAAAGAGAGGUUGGGGUGUUACACCUCAAUCGGAGGCGCACUCGCAAGGAUGGAGAAAUCCUGAGCGGAAUGUCGUCGAUGACGAUCAGUGCCGCGGCCGCCUCCUGAGGUGCAACCGAUUAGGGAAUCCCCAACUGGAUGGCACCGAUGAUGAUGAGCCCUGAUCCGAGGCUCCCAGGGUGGGGCAUUCGUCGUGCCUUCUCGAUUUGACAAUGGUGAUUUCCCCACUACGGAGAUCGCCGGAGUGGCGGGGAAUUGCCAAUCAGGGGUAGCAAGAAAAGAAAGGAAGAGAAGGGAAGAGAGAGAACGAGAGUGAGGGAAGGGUGAGUGAGAGAGAGAGAGAGAUAGAAUGAGAGAAAGUGAAGAGAAAUUUUCAUUUUCAACUAACUCUGAAUUAGUUACACAGUUCCUAUUUAUAGGCCCACUGGGCCCAAGAGUAAAUGUAAAGUAAACUCAAAAGAAUGGGUUGGACUCCGGUGCCUCUUGGGGUUCUGAUCGCCUGGGCCUGGGCCACUGGAAGGCGUAGCGGCGGAAUCGGUAGAUGAACCCGCUCCAUCUCCUGGCCUCUUACCCACUCCGAGGUUCCGACCCUGGGUAACCCUAGAAUCGCCUCCUGUUCUCUCUUCCUUACUAGUUUCCUACUUGAAUUAGCGCCUUAAUUCCUCAUUAUUCCUUGCAGUUGUAACAACCCUACCCCCUUAAGCCGAGCCUUGUCCUCAAGGGUCGAAGUUUGGGAAUUGCUUCUUGAGGACCUUAUAGUCUUUCCAAGUUGCUUGCUCCACUGGGGUAUCCCGCCACCGAACCAAUACCUCUGUUGCCGCGCUUUUGUUUCUGCGGACCACGCGCUGAUCUAAGAUCUCCCCAGGCUCCAUCACUAUAUGUCCCUUCUCUGCCACUGGAGGUAAUUCCGGCGAAACGGGGGUUGAAGGAGCGAGGCCAGGCUUCAGUAACGAUACAUGGAACACGGGGUGAAUCUUUGCCCCUUCAGGUAACUUCAAUCUAUAAGCCACUGCUCCUAUCUGGGCCUCGAUCUCAAAUGGCCCGUAGUACUUGGCCGUGAGCUUGGAGUUCCUCCUGCGAGCAACCGUUACUUGUCGGUAUGGCUGCAGCUUAAGGUAGACCCAGUCCCCCACCUUCUAUUCUUUCUCCCGGCGAUGUCUGUCCGCCAGUUGUUUCAUGCGGUUUUGGGCCAUUAGUGUCACGCCCCAAUCCCCGCCUAUUUGGUCGGGUUCGGGUCAUGUCAACAGAUGCCAAACGGACAGCAUCUCCCCUGUCCGCCCAAGGCUCUAACAAUAAGUAUAAUUAAGCAAUCAACCAAAGUAAUUUGCAAUUAUACAAGGCUUGCGCGAGGGCAAGCAACAACGAAAGCGAAUGCUCUAAGCUAAACAUACAACCACACACAAUAUUUGAUUACAUUUAAACCAAAUACUUGUAACUAAAACUAUUACAUCUUUUUCCAUUCAAUCAUAAUUCUUUAUAUUUUUGUCAUUCUCCAAAAUACAUGAUAUGUUUUCAACUUUACAAUUCUAAAUCAACAAAAUAAGUUGAUACAUGUAGGCAAAAGGAAUGACUAAUGCAUAAGUCCCGGUGACCACUAGUUAUGGCGCAAUACCCUUGCCACGGUCCUCCGCCGCCCCGCUCGUGCUCGGACCUGUAGGGUUAGUAGUGUGAGAACUACAACGAAGUUUCCAGUGGGUUCGGCAACCGACCUCGUCGACUUACCCAAUAGGUCUAUUCAGGGUUAAGUAUUUUAAAGAAAUGGAAUAGGUAACCAUGCUAAUGCUAAUACUAUGCCUGUAAGAAAGAUGUUAGUGGAUAUAUAAUCAAAUAUAGAAUGCUCAUGCAUGCAUGCUUAAUCCAUAACUUUACUUUGGCUUUUACCCAAUCUUGCCGGUUAACCUUGUUAACCUCAAUAACUCACAACCCAAAAUCUCUUAAUAACGGGGGACUCGAACCACCCUAGGGACUGUCCUUUGGGGGGACUUCACCACGCCCAGUGGUGACCAACUCCGGAGCGCACCGCUCGAGGGGGAGCUACCUCCCUCAAGCCAAGACUUAUCGUGAGUAUCGAUCCAAUCCUCAACUUGAGGAUAUAUAGCCACUAGUCACAAUGCCAUUGUCAUAAUAGGUUUCUACCUAUUUGUUCAUGCUACUUUUCAAGUCAUACGUGUUACAAUGUCACUAUGGUUAAACUAUGUUUAACAACCAAUUCCUCAAUGCCAAUCAUAUCUCUAUUGUCAAUGUCACCUUUGUUUACUAUUGUUCAAGUCCAAGUCUCACAUUCAUACAACUUUAGGGUUUUACCAUACAUGUCCAUUAUGGUUCUAUCAUUCUCUAUGUUCAACUACGUUAGAAGCAUGUAAAUGAAAUCAAAUCAAGGUUCACAUGUAAUUUAACCCUACUAUGCAUGAAUGACUAUACAUCAAUAUACUCAAUAAAAGGUGAAAUAAACAUAAAGGGGAAUCCGAUGAUUCCGACGUGCACCCCCCACCUUGAAUAUUGUAGAAGGGUUGUAGUUCGACUUUCGUGAUUUUAGGACGCCUCUUCCGCGACCUAAACCCAAAAAUAAAGCCAAAUUAGGCCCUAUAUACAAGAUCUCAUAUCUACACUUUUCGUAACGUUAAACAGAGUUGUCCCACGUGUCGGGAAUACCCCUAAUUAGGUUUCCAAGAGGUCAAUUUACCUCGGAAACAACCGGAGGCAAAAGUCCCAAAAUCCAUGCCCUAACAAUGCCAUAAUGGGAUUUCUCCUAGAUUGAUCUUAUCUCUAAGCAAAUGAUAGCUUAGAAUCAUCUAGGAAGCUCUCUAAUACUAUUACCAAGCCUCUAGAACCAUUCCUAGGGCAUCUGCUUUGGAUUCUAACAAUCCACCAUGAGAGGGUUCCAAGAAAACCAUGUUUUCAUGGUGUUCAAGGUUCUAGCAUACCUCUAAAGCCUCUAAAGAGACCAAAACUCCAAAACUUAGGGUUAGAAUCCUAACCCUAGAGCUAUUCUUGCACAAAACUCACCUUGGCCACGAGCUCACCCAAGUCCACCUUGUUGGAGAGCCCCAAGAUCCUCCAAAGCCACCAAAAUCCCACUCCAAAGCUUCUUCUCCACCUUCUCCUUGCUCUAGGGUAUGCUUUCUAGAGAGAGAAAGAGAGGAAUGAGAGAGAGAGGAGAGUGUGCUGUGGGAGAGAAGGAGAGAGAGUGUUUUGGUUAUAAUAUGUUGCCACAAUAGCAACAAGACCCCCUAAAUUCUUAUAAUUGCAGCAGACCUCAAAGGUGCUGCCAGACCAAAGUGUACCGGUAUACGUGAUGCUGUCACCGGUAACACGAUUACGCAGAGGCCAACCCGAGAGCAAUUCUCCCAGGUUUUUCCAACGUGUACCGGUACACACCAGGGGUGUCAUCGGUAACACAGGCAAAAUUUCUCAAACCCGAGAGCUUCUCCUUCUCGGCUUGCAAUGCUGUACCGGUGACAACUCGAUGGUUGUACCGGUACACUUUGCUUCAAAAUGCAAUUUUGUGCCGUUUUCGAUUCUGUUUUGCGCUGUUCGAUGCUAAAACCUUUUUAACAUCUCUUAACUCAUUCUUAACCCUUCCAACAUAGUUGGUAUGCUAAUUGAAACUUGUCCAACUAAUUCUUUCGCGCACUUUAGUCGAUUUGGCUAAAGUUCGAUAAUUUCCUUCGAGGUUUCAACAUCUUACAUUCUCCACCCCUUAAAAUUAGUUUCGUCCGCGAAACUAACUUAAUUGCAAUCUAAACUCAUACCUCACUCCAGCUCCUCGAAGAGAUGAGGAUGACGCUCUUUCAUUACGUCCUCAAGUUCCCACGUUUCUUUCCGAUCGUCGUGUUCACUCCAAUGAACUUUAACAUACGGAAUUUCACGGUUUCGUAGUUUUC